UAUCAACAAAUGUAGUUAUAAUACCCCAACCCGUACCACUGGUGCCCAGACAGGAAAGAAUUAAAUUCAAUGGCAGCAACUCAACCGCAAGAACUUAAACUUUAAAAUUAAUCAACCAGUACCACUGGUGAGUCACAGGGCAAACGAUAAAUCAAACGGCCAACAAUCGAGCAGCAAUUAACCUCAAUUCAGUUCUAAAUGAACCCAGAAAAUGCUCAAAUCAUCUCCUGCGUUAUCCAACAAAUUUACUCAAUGAAAUCGUAAUCAUCAAGAUCCCAUCAACAUCAAGAAAUUGGAAUUGAGGACCAGAAAAUUAUUUAAGAAAAACCUGGCACCAGGGAGGUUGGGAUGUUGGCGUGGCUGAGGUGGGGGCGACCCUGAGCUGGUGGAAGGCAACAGGCCCGCGGGCUGGGCUGCGGCGCUGGCAGCGUGCGACAGUGAUGACUGGUAGUGGUGGUUGUGGAGCUCGAGCAGGCGGCGGCGCGGCUCCUCAGCGAAGUGGACCGUGAGGUGGUCUGGUUGUGGGCGAAAGCUGAGCGCGAGGGAGGAAGUAGGAGGUUGACCGCUGGUGGAGAUAGCCAACAGCAGUGGCGGAGGAGGAUAGCAGACAAAACAGGAGGAAAGCUGGAGUGGCGGUGGUGGUGCGCAGAGCUGGAGUGCGGCGUGCUGGUGGCGCGGCUGUCGCAGAGCUCGGGCAGGCGCUCAUCGCCGGCGGCUCUGGUUGAAGGAACAAGAGAAAAGGGGAAAGCAGGGGCAGCGGGGAAGAAGGAAGAAAGAAAAGAAAAAAGAAAAUAAGAAAAAGAAAAUAAAAUGGUUUUUUUUUUUUAACUAGUCUUACCGAAAUUCUCCAAAAAUUGAAAUUGCUUUUGUAAAAAUUUUAUCUCUUUUUUUUUUUUUCAGAAUAAGGAACCUCUGGCCUAGGCGUGGGCACGUCUAAUUGCUAUAGAGCCCGCAGAUCUUGAACGAAAAUUCCUUUCCCUCAAGCGUGACCACCUGGCGUGGGCACGUCUAACUGCUAUAGAGUCCGCAGAUUCUGAACGAAAAUUUCCUCCGUCAGGCGUGACCAUCUGGCGUGGGCACGUCUAACUACUAUGGAGUUCGCAGAACCUGAGCGAAAAUUCCUUUUUCUCAGGCAUGACCACUUGGCGUGGGCACGCCUAACCGCUAAUUCCCUGCCACCAAACAACAAAUCACUAAAUGCAACUAACACUUAACAAAAACUCCAAAAACAUAAGAAAACUAAAAUAAAGAGCCUUGGGUUGCCUCCCAAGCAGCGCCUUUCUUUAAUGUCUUUGGCUAGACAUGCUAUGCUUGUUCACGGAGGAUAAAAUCUUGUGGCUCGCUUCAGUGUUUCAUCUUCAAUGUGAUCCUGGUAACCCUCAUAGAUGGAGUAAUCCUUGAGCACACGAAUUGCGGGCUUCCAUGGACUAGUAAAUGGUGCUAAACAAGUCAACAAUGAUCUGCAUUCUCCACUCACUUCUCCCUCACUUGCAUUUAUUGGUUCAAGAUAUUUUGCCAUCUCCACUCUUAACUUAUUCCUGUCAUGAAAUUUUAAAUUUUCUGGUAUAAUAAAAUCAAUUUCAGUAACAGGAGUUAAAGAAUAGGAGUCAGGAAAGUAUUGAUUAAGGAGUGGAGAAGAUGUCACUGCAUUUGGAGAUCGUUCACUGGAUUCAUUCACUUGGACGGGUUGAUAUUGGGAGCUCAUUUUCUGCACAUUAACUUCCUUUUCAACUGCAUCUUUAGAUUCAUCUCUUUGAAGCUCUUGCAGUUCCAUAUCAUUUGACCGGAUAAUUGCACUCUCAUCUUCCUCAAGGCUAAUGUUGAUUUGUGAGGGCAAUUCUUCAAGGUGAGAAGCUAAUCGCUCUAUCCUGGAUGUCAAUUGUUCCAUUUGAUCUGCUAGGUUACGCCUGCUCACUUGUGUCUCCUGUUGAAUUUGAUACGUUAAUUCAACUAUCUCUUCAAGAGACAUACCUGACAUAGAUGAUGACUCUUGAGACUCAUACUGCUGAAAAUUCAUUGGCCCUGUUGUAUAAUCAUAACUGUAGUUAUCCCACCAUCCUUGAUCAUACCCGUUUGGAUUAUUGCCGAACCUGUGCAAUAAUAAUAAAUAAAACCUAACUACCACAUAAAGCAGUCAAUAAUCAAUUCGAGUACUGGAGCAGGGACUCUAGGUGUGCAAUAGGUUACUUGAUUCACCCUGUUCCCGAAGAGUUUGCUUAAUCCGAUAUACUUGAAUUAAUUAUUUAACUGAAUUUACUAACUUAGUAGACAGUGGUAAGCAGGGUCGUCUCCUGAGGGACUGGCGAGAAAUUUAUUUCUUUUCAAGUCAAGAUUAAUAGGGGGUUUUGGGAUUAAACGACAACUAAAUAAAUUAAAUGCAGAAAAUAAUUAAUUAAAAGAAAUAACUAAGAGAAACUCUAGCCAAGGGUAUACUUCAGAAAUGGUUCAUGCAACUGAUCAUUGAUUCAAAGGUAAUUCCAACAUUUAUUAAUAGAGUGGUUAUAGUUGUCUCGCACGCGCUAAACAACCAACCCUUCCUUAAUUUAUCGGUAGCUAAGGUACGACCGUUAACUAUUUCCCUAACCCAAAAACAACCCUAGGUACGACCGUAGGAUUUAAUUUCUGGUUUGCAUUAAUAAUUAGAAAGGCCCAAUCCUAAUUAACAAACACGCUACGAGGGUUUGUUUAAAUUAGAUCGUAUGUUUCCCUGACAUAAACCCAAUUACGCCAGUUGCUACUGGGAUAGAGAUAACGAACAAUUACGGAUUCAAUUACCUCUAUUUAGCAAAAUAGCCUGUAUGAAUAAUUAAUUAUUGCGCACUAAUCAAUCAUACACAAGAGCUAUAACGGUUAAAAGCAGGAAACAUAUGAAUACCAAUAAAUGGAGGAAACAAUUAAAAUAAAUUAGAUCUCACAGUAAUUGUUGAACCAAGUCUUCAGUUGUCCUCUUCACUAGAAUUAAGAGGUUAGUCCUCCAUUAAUGGAGAACUAACCAUGCGAAAGAGCUAUUCGAACCUUACAAAAUUGUUCCUGGCCAAAUCGGCCAACUAGCCAAAGAAAAAAAAAUCAUAAGAACAAAGCAAUUGUGCCCUUUUUUAUUUCUGCCGUGAGAAGAAGAACCGAAUUUGUUGCUGCCUUCAACUCUUAAUCACGCGGGAUCCGGCCUUCCUUUCCUAUUUUCUAGCUUUCUAAAACGCAAUCAACUUCCUCCCUCACAAUCUGUAGUGAUUGAUGCCAAAGAAAUCUCCUACCAUAGGAAAACUAACUCCUAAAAGAUAGCAAAACAAAGUGCUUAAAAGUCUCCUAAACCAACCCAAUUACUAAUUAGAAACUUGGCAGAUAAUAUCAUCUUCCAGUUGUGAUGACGACUCCCACUUGAAUUAGGAUACUGCCCUGCAUAGAAUCCCACACACUCCAAGCUUGUUUGAUGUCUUCUCACGCGUCCACACUUACUUGGAGGAAAAUCUUCUAAAAGCUGCUAUUUUUGCACUUUCCUUCUCCAAUUGGAUAAACAUCCCCUAAACAUACAAUUCAAACAAAAUAUGUCUAUUAAUGCAAUAUCCAAUCCAAUAAGAAAGGGAAAUUAUAACAAAAUUAAUGCUAAAUUAGCGUUCUAUCACAACGCAUUCAGUUUGACAAAAUUUUAAAAACAAACAUUGGGCUUGCAAGAAUUUUAGCAUUUUAAAGGAGUCUAGGCUUUAAAAAUUUGAUCCAUUUGUUAAAGGAUUUAGGGGUUUAAUAAUAUGAUUUAAGUUUAAGUGAUUGUGUAAUGGAUGAAAGUAUUACUUAAUAUUAUUAUGAUUUGUUAAUUUUAACUUUAUUAUGUAUAAUGCACAUAGAAUGUUAAAGAAACCGUAAUGGUGUCAAAAAAUGAAAAAUUAUAACACGAAUUACGAUUUAUAUAUUUAAAUUUUCAUAUAAAAUGCAAUCAUAUAAAAAGAUUAAUAACAUAUUUGUUUUUCAUUUAGAAUUUUUUUUAUAAAAAAAUCCUUCAGCUAGGUGAUCUAGAAAUCUUUGUACAAUUCAAUUGGGAAUUCGGCAGAAAUUUUUCAGUAAAAAUUAUUUAAAAUCAAAAUUUUGAAAAACAAUGCAUGCAGUUUGACAAAAUUUUAAAAACAAACAUUGGACUCGCAAAAAUUUUAGCAUUUUAAAGGAGAUUAGGUUUAAAAAAUUUGAUCCAUUUGUUAAAGGAUUUAGGGGUUUCUUAAAGAAUUAAUGUUUACCAUUUUAGCAAGUUUAAGUUAUAUAACAUGCGUAACUGUUAUGAUUUGUUAAAUUUAAAAAAUGAUUUAAUAAUAUGAUUUAAGUUGAAGUGAUUGCGUAAUGGAUGAAAGUAUUGCUUUAUAUUAUUAUGAUUUGUUAAUUUUAACUUUAUUAUGUAUAAUGCACACAGAAUGUUAAAGGCACCGUAAUUGUGUCAAAAAAUGAAAAAUUAUAAUAUGAAUUACGAUUUAUAUAUUUGAAUUUUCAUAUAAAAUGUAAUCAUAUAAAAAGAUUAAUAACAUAUAUUUGUAGAAAUGAAGAAUUAUUUGCGUGUCAUUAUUUGAUAUGUGAUAAUUAGUUUUAAUAAUUUAAGCUAUUAAAAUAGCUGUAAAACGACUAGUAUUUAUUUGUUUUGUAGGUAUUAUCCUAUAGGGACCCUUCUAUCCAAUUAUAGGGUUUAAUAAAAUAACUUGUACUUCUUUAUUUUGAAAAUGUUUAAUGUUAUUCAAAUUAAAAGUGAUUGGAUUAAAUAGAAAACAUAGACAACUAAAUUAAAUUAAAUGUCAUGUGAAAUGCAUUAAAUGGAUGAGAUAUAAAACAUCGUCAAAGACAAAAUAAUAUCAAUGCCUAAGGUCUACGACAAUUUCCACGCUCUUCCGGCAUUGGCUCGUGGGGGGGUCAGAUUUGAUAGGUUAGGGGUGCCUUCAUUUCGGAGAAGUAAGCGUUUGUAAGCAGAACUUGUGAUUGGUUUGCUUUCUUGAUGAAUAAUAUCCUAUUUCUUUAAAAAAAAAAAAUAUCAAUGCCUCGCAGUUUUCUUGCCUUUACCCUUAGCCUUGCCCUUAUCCUUCUCCUGAGGUAUCGUCAGGGGACAACAAUAUCUAGUAGCAGGCCUUCUCUGACGAUUACGUUGCACUCGUUCUCCGAUAACUAAAGCAGGAACUUGUGGAACAGCAAUAGAUGGGCCAUAAUCUUCAUCUGCGUUAUCAGAGACAAGGGUAUCCUCGCCUAUCGACUCAGCUGUCCCAUCAAUGUCAUCAGUAUCUUUGGAACGAUAGUCGUGAAAAUUUCCUGGAACAGCAUGUCCUAACAUGCCCAUUGGUUGGGUCUGAGUAGGCGUGAACAUGGUCUGACCAAGCGUGCAAUAAUCCGGAAGAUCUACAGUAGUAGAACCACCUCCCGUGGCACCAAGCAAAUCAUAUAUUUGGCUAAAGUCUGCAUGUAAGGAACCCCCAGAUGUAGUGGCAUCGUACCCAAAUACAAGUAUAUGCGGCAAAGGCAUGAAUGGUGAACCAAACGCAGGUACGUGUGAGGAAGGAGUGAAUUGUGUACCAUAAAUAGGAAAGUGUGGCAAUUGUAUAAACUAUGGCAAAGUCGAAACCGGUGUAUGUAGUGAAGUAGAAAAAUGUGUACCGGUCGGCCUAGUGCAAUUUUGAGGGUCCACUUCAGGGUCACGAUGCUCUGCCUCGUUGUCGUCCUCAUCAUGCAAGCCAUGCCUGUGUCGUCUAACUCCACUGGUAGAUGCUCGAGUGUGACGAGGGACACGUCCAAUUGGCCUCUCAUAGGGAACAUGCUGAGACUAUGUUUGGGUCUCAAAUGGGUCCCAAUCACCAAUUUUCAUACGAACGUAUUGUUGAAGGUGCUGUAUAGACCCAAAUGCACCAUCCAUGAUCGUCAAAAGACGCGGGUGAAAAGCAUGUCGUUGCUCAUCAACAUUGAGGGCUUCAUGCGAUUGAUGUCCAAUGCACUGCAUGGUAUCCAUCUGAUAUAAAGAAAAUAGACAAAUUAAUAUAAUGUACAAGAUUGACUAAGAAAUACUAGCACAAAACAUACAUAGUGACCGAGUGAAAAUUGUAGGAGUAGUAAUUACCAGAUAUUCAAGUUGUCUUGAUACCCCGUAGAGCAUGUGCCCGGACUGCGUCUGCUGAUGGAUAGGAGACGUAAUGUACAAGAUGGUGUGGCGAUGGUACCAUCUGAGAUACUCUUCUGAAGGUCUGAAUGUAUCUGUAGGCUGUCCUGGGACCUCAGCUUCGUAGCGUCGAUCCCAAUAACCUAUCCAACUCCUAUGAAACUGAGUCCAAUUUCUUUCUAGAAAACCAGCUAGACCAAGUUGGUGCAAACCCUUAUGAUCAGUGUCAAUUUGUUCAGGAAUUUUUUGUACCAUGCCGAACUGACGCAUCACUCGAUCUGGACAAUGAAACUCAACUAUGUGCCAAAAUAUCAAAGGGAGCUUUGCUCGCCAUAUACACUCUCCCCAUCUGCAAUACGCGGGUAGAGAUGGCAGUAUGUCACCACUAUAUGGCAUCCAGAUGAACUGAUAGAACAGGAAAAAUGGAUACUCAAUCCUCAUUUGCCUUGAAUAGAAAUUCAACAAAAUAUAAAUAAUAAUUAUCCACAAAAUAAUAACAUACCUGAUCCAUUCUUAGCAACCCUAUCUGCUCUCGAUAAUACACAACAGGCCGACCAGGAGGCUCAUAAUAUAAGUAGGUACUUAAUACAAAUGAUAAUGAGCUAAUUCUAGAUUCGUGAUUUGGUCAGCCCAUCGAAUAUUCCACUUGCACCAAUUUUUAUAUAACAAGGAAUCAAGAAAGUUUUGGUCAGCCAAAGCAAGAACAAAACGUAUAUUAAUGAAAGUUUCAUCAGUAUUGAGUAAAUUAGUCAUCCUCUUUCCAAAUUUUUAGAUUAGACCACAGUAUUCAAUAUGUUGGUCAUAUUAUAAUUUUUCUCUUCUCUAAUUCUCCUAUGCUGCCAUUGAAGUUUAACAAAAAUGUCAUACAAUUCUAACAACUAGAGUUGUCAACAAUUGAAAUUGGUACUGACUAGUAUUUUUUUUUUUUUUGUCAACGAUAACAGUAGCAUUAUUCUCAAAGAUACGUGUAAAUUACUUGCUAAUGUCAAGAGCCUAAUCUUCAAAACAAAAAACUUACUAAAGCUGUUAAAUUAAGUAUUUGUACUAAGAUUUUUAUUUUCCCCUUUUUUUCAAGUAAGGUGGGGAGAGAUAGGCAAUCCAUAGCAUUCUUUAAUCUUCAAUUUAGAGAAUAGGAGUCUUUUCUUUAAGGGUGCAUUUGAUAAAAUUGAAACUUGAAAAUUAAAAUCUAAAGUCUAAAAUCUAAAUCCAUUUAGUUACUGAAUCGUUAAAUACUAAAUUUGAUACAUUUAAUUAUAUAUCACAUUAAGUGAUUAUUCACUUAUCACUUAUUUUUUAGAACAAGUUUUGCAUUGGAAAUUCAUUACCACUUAAUUAAUCCAUAUGUUUUAGUUUUAGUUAUUGAACGCAUCUGAACAUAAUAAGCUAUGAAUCCAUUCAAUUUAAGUACUAAAUUGGGUUAUCAAACAUAAUCCAGGUUUAAUAGAAUUUCAACUAAAAAUCAAUAGGUUUGUUAAGCUUACAUAAUUUGCUAAUAAUAAUAAUAAUUUCAAAUAUUAUUCAGAGAAAUGAGACAUGAGCCUUUUGUCUUCAUUCUCUAGUUGAACUUAGACGUUUUAGACUUUUAGUGGAGCACUUCUUUCCGGUAAAAAUAAAUUUCACUGAAGCAUUUAAAUAAUUAUAGAAAACUAUUGUUCUCUUGAAUUGGGACCAUAAAAUAUUUAUGGGUCUAACAUAUUGAUACCUAUGUUGUUGAACCUCACUGUAAUUAUCGAAGAACCUUUUGCAAUAAUAUCCUACCAAGAGAUUCAUAAUCCAUGCUCUAUGGCAUGUUGAAAAUCAUACAAAAAAAAAAAAAAAAACCUUGCCCAGUCCUACGAAAAUCACAAUACUGUAGUACAUAUAAUCAGUUAACUUCUGGUCUUCGUGGAGUACAUGUGUUUGACCCAUUUCUUUAGCCCAAAAUAAAAUUUAUAAGUAGCGAAAGAAAUAACCAUAUGAACGAAACAAUAGGGCAAAAUACACUUUACCCUCAUGUGAUUUAGCGCUUUUUCGCAUAAUCUCCCAUAUAAUUUCAAAAAUCAUACAUAACCUCCUCAUGAUUUAAAUAAAAAUGUCAAAAUAAUAGAAUGUGUAUACUAUAACGGAGUCAACUAAAAUGUCAACAGUACCUCUAUGUAAAGUUGAAAAUUAUUUAUUAAUCACGGGGUUUAUGUAUAUAUUUUAAAAAUAUGGUAAAACACUAAAUCAUAACGAGGUUAUAUAAUAAACCAUAAAAUCAUACGAGAUUAAAGUAUCAUAUAUAUUAUAUUUAUAUAUUUUGGUCAUUUCAAUCAUUUUAGUUUUUAAACAAGAAUAAUAUUGACAUUUUCAUAGAUUCCAUUACAAAUGAUCAUUUUCGUCACUUUGACACUUUAAUUUAAACUAUAAGAGGGUAAUAUAUAGCUUUUAAAACUAUACGGGGGUUUUGUAAAAAAUUGCUAAACCACAAGGAGGUAAAGUGCAUUUUGCCCAAAAUAGUAAUACUAGAUUCAAACUAAUGAAAUCCUCUAUGGAUUGAAAUUGCAAAAACCCUUUUCCCUUGGCAAGCCGGGACCUUCUUAUUUACAAAGGAUUCAAUUCCGCAAUUGCUUAACUCGAGCUGAAAUCGUGUUGCUCCGUGAACUUUCAAAUCCAACUGGAGAACGAUAUCGCCUACUGAAAACCAUUAAAACUAUGUUGAACGGAGUUUGAGGCAAGGACUAUUGCAAGUGGCAACUCUCUAGAAAGGCUGACCUUCAUGAUUUGGUUACAAAAAAUGUUAGGAUCAAAUCACAUCUUGUAAAUCAAUUUUAACACUAUAUAUGAGGUUCACAAAAUUUUAUUCUAUGUUUAUAAGUUGUUGAAAAUAAGUUACAUUCUAAAUAAAGUGAGUUACAUCCUAUGCAAAUGAAACAAAAUCGACCCAAAUGAUGUUUCUGAUAACCGUUUGGACCCUUAGUCCAUGGUGAACUUAUUACAAUACAUAGAGACCUUAUCUUAUAGACUAUAUAUCACUGUACACCAUUACACUAAUAAUUGAGUCUGACUUGUGAGGCUGGCAACUGUGGUCCAUAAUAGAAUUUUCAUAAGACAUACUUGGUUUCUAAAAUGUCCUUCACAUUUCGUUAAAUAAAUUAUUUCAUCGUUCACUUUUAAAAUGAUAAUUUUGUGUUUCAUACAAAAUCAAAUCAGUAAAAUUUCGUUCCAAUCUAGAUUUUUUACCGCAUUUUACCCUAAAUCCAUGGUGUGACCCAUAUGUAGUCAUUAUUUAUGUAUAGAAACUAGAAAGGUUGAUCAAUUGCACAAUGAAACAUUAUCCACUAAUGUACGAGGAGUCGCUCUGAUGCCACAUCAUAUAUUUGCACUGGUUAAUGUAAAAAAAGUUUUACAUUAAUAGUAUAUACAAUAUUAAUCCUAUAUAUUUAUUAAUUCAAAGAAUUAUUGGAUUAGAAAAUUCAAUGUGCAUUCAUAUACAUAGAUCAAGAAAAGACAAUAAAAAGUGCAAGGAUAAUUGCAUAUCUUUCAUAUUGUAGGUUUCGAGCAAAUAUGUCUAAGGUUCUGGUUUUUGAUAUAGAUUUGAAUCAACUAUCGUAAUAUAGAGGUCAAAGGUUAUGGUUAGAUUAGUAGAUGACCUUAUAUUCUUUUCAAGUAGUCUACUUGAAUUUGUUUAAUAAGAUUGAAUCCAGAUAGAGGAUGAACUACAUUCAACACAUGAUAUGGUAUUAAGAAGUCAGUCGGUGACGUUGAAUUAGAGUAAACUAAAAUUAAGAAAAAACUUCACUUAAAAGUAUCAAUAGACUUUGUUUUGGCAAACCUUAGGAGAGAAAAAUGUAGUUUGAUCGAACAUGACUAGAAUAAUAUACCAUCCAAAUCUAUUUUCAGUUGAGGAACCACAUAUGUUACGUUUAUGCAUUCAAAUCUACCAAUUGUGAUGCUUUAACAGCACCGUCUUGAUUAUGUAAAUAGUUUUCUAAUUUUUUUUAUGCUUUGAGGGAUAAUUUGUAAAAGUUAGUUUUUUAAGAGUAAAAUGUCCUUUUUUUUCCUAAUAUUGUAAGUAAAGGAUAAAAGCAGCGUGAUAAGUAUAUUAGUCUGUAUUUGAGGCUUACAAUGUUUUAGCAAAUGCUUGGUAAUCCCCUUACCAAUCAAAUUCGAUGAUAAAUUACUAAUUGAUUUUCUAGAUAAAGUCACCAUAUCCUUUACUUAAGCAUUAAGAGAUGAGGCAAUCCUAUCAAUGGAGAAGACCUUAGAAUAGUUGGUGAGGUCAGGUGGUAAGGAGCUUUUCCUAAUUUUUCCUUAAUAAGAUUUUUAUUCCUCUCUUUUCUCAAAAUAAAAUUUUUAGCUUUAGUAGCCUGGCUAUUUGAAACAUUUGCAAGUGAAGUUCCAUGAAAACUGCGUUAGAGUUUGCUUAUUCGAGAUAAGGCAAGUGAAAAUGCCAAGCAACUUCCAGUGCAAAAGCAUUCAACUAUGCCAACGAAGCAUUGCACUUCUACACGGAUUGAGGGCUCACAAUUGGUCACACCAUUAUCCUCUUUUGUCAUUAGAACAUAAUACUAGAAAUAUGCAUAUGAAAUAUUUCACUUAUUAUGGCAAUCGUACACCUUCAAUGCAACGAAUGUACAAUUUAAACAUUAGUUUAUGUUGUAAUGAAUAUGUAAAUAAGUUACAUUAUGGCUAAUCUUUGCCAUAUAGUAUCUCAAGCAAUCAGUCCUAAUAAUUGUUAAGGCACUUUUAAAUCUAUUCAAUGAGAUUGAAACAAAUGCACCGUUCAAGUUAUUCUUUGUCAAAAGUCGUUAGUCAAGCACUUUAGCCAAAAACAAGAGAGGUGUAAUUGUUCACGCUCCGUUCUUGAUAAGAUGGAAGCAAAUGCAUCAUUCAAGUUAUUCUUGGCCAAAAUUCAUUCAUCAUUUUUAAAAGGCUCCAUGAAAGUGAGCUCAACAUUCUUGGUUGUGUGUAAGUUUAAAAGCACUUCAUAUCUCAAGAUACCAUUGAUUCUUAUUUUCUCUUUUCAAAAAUAAAAGUCAAAGUAAUUUGACAUCACAAGCCCGAUUUCUUAGACACAAAGGCAAGUAUAAGUGUUUUACAUGUUUUUCAAAUUAAGAAUAUGUUAUACAUCCCCCAAAAAAUCUUAAAAGAAAAAAAAAUUCCUUUCUUGCUUGAAAAAUUGCAUUGUAACACGUUCUAUUGUUGGGCCAAUUAAGCCUCAUGAACGAGAUACGGAGGUCAUUGUCUACGAGUAAAUUUCCAAAUUCGGCUGCCUUUUGAAGCUAGUUUGCAAAACGUAAAAGUUUUUAAACAAAAAACGCAUUUACUAUAUCCAUUGUUUAAAAAUUUAGAAAAAAAUAUAGUUUUACUCCUUAUUGUUUAGUCUCUGUACAGUUUUAGAUCUUAAAGUUUCAGCAAAAGUAAAUCUAGUCGUUAAUGUAUAGUAUAUGUACAGUUUUAAACUUAGCUACUAUUUUGCUUCUUUGUUUUAAAUUUUAAUUUAAUAGGCACAUGAUUAGACAUGACUAAAUUUUGUUAGUAAUUGAGAUAAAAUUCUUCAAAUGUCCUAAAUCAGCUAUAAAUUGAAGAUAAAGGGGACCGGAUUUACUCUUGCUAUAACUUUAUGGACUAAAAUUGCACAUGUACUAAAUAUUGAGGAUCAAGAUUGCUUUUGUUAAAACUUUAAGGACUAAAACUGCAUAUGGACUAAAGAUUAAGAAUUAAAACCAAAUUUUUUUCCAAAAAUGGAAAAUUUAUACAUACAAAAAACAUGAAAAGUGGCAUUCAGCAAAUGCAGCUUUUCAACAAUUAGGAUUCAUUUAAUGGCUAAGAGAGGCCUCUUAGAGUUUUACUCGCUAUCAAAUUUAGGAUUUGAAUCCUGACCUAAUAAUUGCGAGUAGGAAGGGUGUGGAAAUGGGUGGGAGAAUUAAAAAAAAAAAAAAACUGCAACUUUUCAAGUUGCGAAUGUUGCAUUUGAUGAAUACGAUUUUUACCAUUUGGGAAGAAGUUUGAAAAACAUCACUUUUUAGGAAUUUUUUUUCUUUUAAGUAGCCCUCUUUGGGGAUUUACUCCAUCAUCCACUAGAUAGUUCCGUGUACAAAAGUAGCCAACUAGCAAAAUAGGUAUUACAUUCACAAUAAUGGAGAACUUUUUGGUCUCUGGUUUCUAACGAGAUGGUGUAACACCUCCAGCGCUGUCAUUUGUAAAACCAAGAAAAUGAGGAGUAUAUUUUGAAAUGUCUAAUUCCCAUGGAUUAGUAAUUAAGACUAGAUAAUGCUUUCAGUUUUCUUUACUAAUGAAUUGCUAUUUAACUUUUUCUAGUAAUAUGAUUGCGAUUAAAGUUUCUUGUCCGUCUCUGGUGGAAUAUGAUUGCGAUUAAAGUGGUGGAACUUACACAAUUAUUCAAUCAGAAAAAGAUGAAGGCCCCAGCAACAACAAUGAUGAAGGAAGCUCAGGUGAAAAUGCCAAGCAACUUCCAUUGCAAAAGCAUCCAAAUUUCCCACUGAAUUGAAGCACUGCGCUGCACUGCACUGAUCGAGGCCUCCCUGAUGUCUUUCAAGGAUUCCACCGAAACAACUAAUGGCCGCCUUCAUUGACCAAACUUAGAAUUGUGGUGGCCGACAAAAUUUAGUCUAGGCUUUCAUACAGCUAUUCUUUAUCAAAUCAUGCAACAUAUAUUUAUUUGUAAACCAAAACUUGUAACAAAUAUUUGGAAUUUUUUUUUUGAAAAAUAUUGUGACGUUUCUUUAAUCUGAUAUAUAUAAGAUAAAAAAAAUAAUUAAAAAAUAUAUUAAUAAUGUAAAUAAAUAAAUUUUGACAAAUAAUUUACUGUCACAAACAAAUCCAUUACAACCAGAUGAUACGUUACUCUGAACAAAGUCUGCUCAUAGACACGUUAGAUAACUAUGAACAGUUUUUAGAAGUUUUUAGUCUGCUCAUAGUCUUUUAGAAGUUUGCAUCCGAAGAGCAAAAAAUUCCUUUGCUAACUUAGAAAUAAAGUAUAUGCAUUUACCAUUACAUGUACUGAGAAAUAAGUACAGCAUUGGCAAUAAUUCAUACGGUAAUUCAGAUAUUUUCAGUAACAGGCCCCAGCAUUGAAUCAGAAAAAGACGAAGGCCCCAGCAACAACAAUAAUGAUUAAGAAUGCUCAGGCGAAAAUGCCAAAGCAACUUCCAUUGCAAAAGCAUCCAAUUUCCUACUGAAUUGAAGCCCAGCACUAGACUUAUUGAGGACUCCUUAUUUGUAACAUAAUUAUCAUUAUUUAUUUCUUGUACCAAACCAUAGCAGUCGAAGUUGAGUCGGACCAUAGGGUUGUUAAUGUGAACAUAAAUAUCUCAUGUGAUUAGGGUGGUUGUACACCUUUUUUUUUUUUCAGCAACGGUAGUUUCUGUAUUGAUAGACAAAAAGGAUGUACACUUAUAUGAGCAAAGGCUCAAGUAGUACUAUACAAGAGUGUUAGACACACUGAGGAUUGAUCCAUUUCUCAUCUUGAAAUAUGCCUAAGGCAUAACCACUAAUCAAAUCACAUAUGGAAUCUAAUCUCCUAUCUAAACAAAAGGAGCAUUUCUGAAAUAAAGCUCUGAGAUUGUUAAUAUCAUCAGUCAAAGUAGCCAGUUUGAUAUCGUUGGCUAUUCCUUCCGUUAACCCUUUCAACAGCUGAGAGCUAGGCAUGUAGACUGUAAUUUUCUGCCAUUGCUGUUGUCUGGCCUUUAUAAUGGCCAUCUUCACAGCUUCAACAAUAUUCUGCAACUGAUUCCUUGCUUUCCUGUCAAUAAGCCCAGGCUGCCACCAGCUGGUGGUUGAAGUUAGUUGCUAUAAUCCCUGUGCCAAUUCUAUUGGUUGGUUCUUACACUUGAGUUGAGAUUCUGAUCUGCAUUUCAUCACAUCCUCCCUCCUCUGAUUCUUUUUCCUCUUUAUCUCUUUCAGCACCCUCAGGGGUCAUGUUCUCCUUACUCCAAGCUGUUGCUUGCUCGUGCCAUUCUUGUUGAGCCUUUUUAACUGUUUUCCAGGGAUGUUUACGUUUUGCAUUGAACUUCCAUUCAUUUCUCCUCUUCUAUAUUUGCCAUAGGAUGUUCACAGUUAGCUCUAUAUGUUCCCUGCCCUCUGUCCUACAUAUGGCAUCCAGCAUAGCAGUCCACCAUGUUAUGAAGUUCCCUGUCUGUUCAGUUAAACCAUCCCAAUAUACUGGUGCCAUCUUCCAGACCUCUUGAGCUCUGCUACAAUGAAAAAACAUAUGUUCAGUUGACUCUUCCUUUUCUCCACAUCCAUCACAGAUUGGAUCCCCUUGGUGUGUUCUUUUGAACACCAGGCCAUUAACUGGUAAUAGACCAUUGAGGCUCUUCCAGAUGAAGUGUUUUAACUUGCUUUUGACCUUCAAUUUCCACAGCCACUUCCAUUGUUUCCCUUUGGAAUUUGCUGAACUUGUUUCUGCUUCGUUAUCUCUUCUUCCCCUGGAUUGAGUUCUUUCUCUGCACAAUGCCUUAUAUCCUGAGUUGACCGUGUAUCUGCCAUGACCACUAUGUAACCAGUAGUUACUGUCUUCCCUACCAGAGAUACUGAUGGGGAUAUCCAAGAUUUCCUCCGCAUCUUUUUGAUUGAAAGUUCUAAGCGCUAAUGGUUUAUUCCACCUAAAUCCACUGAUCAACUCAUCUACUCUUCUGAUAUUGCAGUUCUGAGACAUUACAGAGGUGACUUUUCCAUUCUCAUUACCAGGGAUCCAGUUAUCCUCCCAAAUGAUUGUUGUCUUGCUAUUGCCUAUCUUCUUUCUAGUUCCAUUCGGCACCAAUUCUCUCACGUUCAUCAGGCUUUGCCAGAUCCAGGAAGCACACUUAGGGACUUUGCACUUGAAGAUUGAGUCCUUAUGAAAAUACUUUGCCCUCAAGACCUUGCUGACUAAGAGAUUUGGUUUGGAAAUCAACCUCCAAACCUGUUUAGCCAGCAAGGCUUUGUUAAAAUUCUGCAAGUCCUUGAAGCCUAAUCCUCCCCCUUUUUUCUCCAUAGCCAUUCUUCCCCACGAGCACCAGUGCAUCUUAUUUUUCCCUUCAGCUUCUCCCCACCAAUACUUAGCAAAAAUGGAGGUCACUUCUUUGCACAGUGUGUUUGGAAGUUUAAAGCAGGACAUUGUAUACACUGGCAUUGCCAUGGAAACUGCCUUCAAUAAGACUUCCUUCCCUCCUUGGCUGAGCAGCUUGUUCUUCCAGCUCUUCAUUCUCUUGCUGACACUGUCCUUAAGAAAGCCAAAAACUUGCUGUUUAGAUCUUGUUAUCACCAUAGGGAGCCCCAAAUAUUUUCCUUGAGUAGCCACCUGGAUUGUGCCAAGGCUUUGUCUCACUUCCCCUUUCCUCUGAUGACUAACAUUGCUACUGAAAAAAACUGAGGACUUUUCCAGAUUUAUGGAUUGACCAGACCCCUUCUCAUACUUCCACAAAAUUUGAACAAGUUCACUGGCUUCCUCUUUGUCAGCAUUAUAGAAGAUCAAUGAAUCGUCAGCAAAGAAUAAAUGAGUCAAUCUUGGCCCAUUUCUGCUUAUCUUCAUCCCUGUGGUCCUUUUAUCUCCUUCAGCCUGCUUCAAUAAGUUGGAGAAACCUUUUGAACACAAAAGGAAAAGAUAAGGUGACAGUGGGUCAUCUUGUUUUAUUCCUCUUUCUGGGAUUACAAAUUCUUUUGGUACUCCAUUAAUAUUGAAAGAGUAGGUAACUGAGGAGAGGCAACUCCAUAUCCACUUCCUCCAGACUGUACAGUAGCCCAUUUUUUCCAUCAUGGCAUCAAGGAAUUUCCACUCCACUCUAUCGUAGGCCUUUGACAUAUCUAGCUUCACAGCCAUAAAUCCAUUCUGUCCUUGUUUCUUAUUAUUCAUGAAAUGCAAAUAUUCAUGAGAUAGAAUGACAUUGUCAAGAAUUUGUCUGCCAGGGAUGAAAGCUGCCUGAGUUUUGCUAAUGCAGUGACUUAAAACUUUCUUGAGUCUAUUGGCCAAUAUUUUAGAAAUCACUUUGUACACAACAUUACAGAGACUAAUUGGCCUAUAGCUCUUCAAAUUAGUAGGAUUCUGGAUUUUUGGGAUGAGGGAGAUGACUGUAUGAUUCCAAGACUUAGGCAUGUUGCUAGAAUGAAAAAAAUGCCUAAUGGCAGCAAUUAAAUCUGUUUUCACAACAUGCCAAAAUUUUUGAAAGAACAAGGGAUUCAUGCCAUCUUGGCCUGGUGCCUUAUUUGGAUUCAUGGAAAAGAGGGCAGAUUUAAUUUCCAUCUCCUCUUCUUCCUGAGUUAGCCUUGCAUUCAUCUCAGUAGUGAUAGUGGUAGGUAUACCAUUUAGAAUCUCACCCAGACCCUCACAACCAGAACUAGCAAAAAGGACUCUAUAGUAGUCAGCUACUUCCUUUCCCAGCUCCUCUUCACUCUUUGUCCAAGAUCCAUCCUCCCUUUGUAUGUUAAGCAUCCUAUUUCGCCUUCUUCUCCCCUUCACACAAGCAUGAAAAAAUUUUGUGUUCUUAUCCCCUUCUCUCAGCCAAUCAAUCCUUGCUUUUUGAGCCCAAAACUGCUCUUCUUCUGUGUAGGCCUCUUUCAACUGAUUCUUUAAAUCUGAAAUUUUAUCCUUAACUCCUGAUUCCUUAGAGUCCUUAAUCUGUUGCUUCACUUGAUAGAUUCUUAGCAAAGAGUUUCCUGUGAAAUUGUUCUUCCAUUUGAGUAGAGCCAUUCUGCAGUUAGCAACCUGCCUUGUAAUCCUAUACAUCCUAUUUCCUUCUACUGUUUGUUUCCAAGCUUGCUCAACCAUUUGACUGAUCCCUUCCCUCUUGAGCCAUCUCUUAUCAAAAAAGAAUCUUGAUCUUUUUUUUUCUAUUCUAGGCCAAUUAUCUAAGAGCAACAUGCUGUGGUCUGACCCAAUAUUUUCCACGUGUUCACAUUUAGCCUUGUCAAAAUAUUGGCUCCAGUUAAUGGUGCUCAAUCCUCUGUCCAGUCUUUGCCUUAUCUCCCCCUCACCUUCCCAAUUGUUGCUCCAUGUCCAUGGAUUACCAGUAAAACCUAUAUCCACAAGAUUGUUAUAUUCAAUAAAGCUGUUAAAAUCCUUGAAACUCCUCUCUGCUCUUGCUUUUCCUCCCCACUUCUCUUCAUUAGUGAGUAUGUCAUUGAAGUCCCCUGUCAGAAGCCAUUUAUCUCCCCACAACUGCUGUCUCGCAGUCAAGACUUUCCACUGUUGUUUCCUAAUACUAGCAUCACAACUCAUAUAUACACCAAUAAACCACCAGUCAAUCUGCAAAUCCGGAUCAAAAACCAGUGCCUCUAUAGUGAGAGCAGUUGUAACUACUUCCCUGACCUCAAUAUCAUUAUUCCAAAACGAAGCCAUACCUUCUUUCCUAUCCAUAGCUUCCACAAUCACACUUUCCUCAAACCUCAGAAUUUUUUGGACCCUUCUCAUGUAAUUAAGCCUAUUUUUGGUUUCACUCAGAAAUAUUAUAUUUGGGGAGAGGAAGUUAUUAGCCUCCCUCAACUGGGGAACUGUCAAGGGGCUCCCUGCUCCUUGGCAGUUCCACACCAGAACCUUCAUUGAAACUUGAGGGGCCAGUUAAGGGUGGCCCCUUCCCCCUCCUGUUUCUCUCUCAGAUUCACUUCCCCAUCUCCCAAUUUGUUUCUCUUGGGAACAAUCUCAGUUACCUGCACUUCCACCAUUUCCUCAUCUACCAAGUUAAGUUUCCUUUUUCGUUGUUGAAGAGCCAAUAUCUUGUUCCCACUCAGAUCUCUCAAAGGCUGUCGAGAGAUUUUGGGAGAUCUCAAUUGCUUCUUCAUUUUCCUGUUAUGUUUCUGGGCAGCCUUUGUACCCAGAUCAGAACUUCCUGGAUCGAUUAGCAUUAAUGCUAUUUCAGGACUGCCAGAAUCAUCCUUCACUACUGUGACUUGCAUUAGCUCCUGUGCUAUUUGCUCAAGUCCAUUUCUUUCCAAUACACCCUUGUUCUUACCAUUUUUCUCUACCUCCUUUGGGAUACACAUACUUGCUUCCUCUAAUACACAUUUACUAUUUCCCCUAAGGAGGGUUUCUGUAGCUUCUGUGGUAGAACUUUCCUUCUCACUGUUCUUGCUAUUUAGAGUUAAGCUUUGUCUAUCCAAUUCUUUGCAGCUAGCCUCACCUCUUAGUUGCUGAACCUCACAGAAUUCAUCCUUUUUGGACUUCUCCUUGUCUGUCAUGUUACCAUCAUUACUCUUCUUAAUUUCUUCCUUCCUCCCUGGCAUAAAGUCCUUAUGACCAUGUUCCAUAUUUUCCUUUGCCUUAGGAUUUAACCGUACCAUCUCUCCAUCUUUAAAGCCCUAGAAAUUUAUCUCAGAGUUGUACUUAUUCUGUUGUUCCUUUUGUGGUGAGGCUUUUCCUGUAUUGCUCUCAUCCUUGGGCCAUACUGGUGUUCCUGCUUCCCUUUGCUUACCUGUAUUAAUGCCUUGCAUUUCUUUUCUCCAUGUCCAAUCACUCCACACUUGUAACAGAAGUCUGGGCAUCUCUCAAAUCUGAAGUUCAACCAUUUCAGGAUUCCAUUUACUUUAACUGUCGUUCCCCUUAAGAGAGGUAGGGAGGUAUCCAGAACCACUAAUAACUUUAGAUGUCUACCUUCCUUUCCUCCUACUUGAGUCACCACAACAUUCUUUACUUCAUGAAAUAUAGCUCCAAUUUUCCAUCCUGCUUCUUUUGUUAUCCAGUGCACAGGUAGAUUCCAGACUUGAACCCAAAGGGGUGCAAGAUCAAAAGCAGAUGUAUCAUCCUCUAUACCUUCAAACCAGUAUUUCAUCACCAGAAUUUGGUUGCCCAUGACCCAAGGUCCUCCCCCUACUAUCCAGUCUCUAUCCUCCCUGCUUGGUACAUAAAACUGAAACAGAUUUGGACCCAGCUCUAUAAUCCUAAGAUUCCUUGGAUACCCCCAAGCUAAGUUCACAGAGUUCUUAACUCCAACAAAAUUAAACACUUUUUCACCUUUUAUUCUCCCCACUAAGCUUAACUGACAUUCUUGAAUACCUCUGUCUAUCUCUUCCCCUCCAAGGUCAGUACCUUCCAGUUCUUUGUCAGAAAGAGCAAAUUUCCUUAUAGCAUCUGCUAGUUCCUCCGCCAUGGGGUCUAACCGGAUUCUAAAUAAACCCCUACUAUCACUAUUGAGAAACAAGACAAGUCGUCCAAGGCCAAAAAAGCAGAAAAGACUCCUACCUAGGCAGACAAGAUCGCUCUACAAGAAGAAGAAGAGCUCUCACUGUUUUUUACCAAACUACUCAAGAAAAAGGAAAACCUUAUCUUUUUUCCUAUUUUUUUUUCUAAAAAUAUCCUGAAAAAAGAGACUGAUAGGGGUAAACCCCAAAACCUUUAAUACAAGUAAAAAUGCAAGAGUGAACCAUGGAAUAUAUGGCUGUGAAGAUACCUGUCAUCACCCUAACUUCUUCCAUGGAGUCUGUUUCCUUGGACCAGAUUCACCAAGCUACCUUCUACUUGCAGUCAUUUUCCAACAUUUUGCUGGAAACUUUGUUGUGAACUUGUCCCACUAAUGGGGAGCUAGGAUCUUUCCAAGAUGCUCGGCUUUUGCUAUAUCACUUCUUACAGACCGAUCUUCUUAACUUCAUCAAUGCAUUAAAGUUUUUGUUCAUUGUCUGAUUCUUGGGAUUGAGUAUAAGAAUUUGCGGAAAUUUUGAAAAAGUUUUGAACUCUCAAAAAAGAGAGAUUCGCACUCUUACCCAGAGAGAGAAACUCUCACUUUUAGGAGGGAAACUGGUUGUACACCUCGAAUGCAACAAAUAUAGUACAAUUUUAGCAUGGGUUUGUAUUGUAAAUUUGUAAUUAAUAUACGGAAAUAAAAGUCAUUGUGUGAUUGUAAAAAAUGGGUAACUGAUUAUGAAUUGUCUAAUUAUAAGGAAGUAUAAUAAAAAUUUUCUCUUAAUUUCUUAAAUUGGAGAAUAAAAGAAGCCGGUGAACUGUAAUUAAUCUGUUAUACAGAAAAAAAAUAUAUGUUGUUUCUUCAACUUUAUAAAUUUUUAGUUUAAAAAUUUUUUAUUUGCUUAAAAAUAAAAAUUUUGAAAAAUGUUCCGUUUGAAUUAGUUGUUUUUGGAGGGUGUUUUUGAAAGAUUUUAUUGUAGCAGAGUUUUUAGAUUAUAUUUUGAGAUAUAUAAGAGUAGAAGAGUUUUUAGAAUAUAUUUUAGAAUUUUUUUAAAUAUUUAAAAAAAUUUAGACUACUUUUUAGAGUACCUUUUAGUGUACUUUUUAAAAAAAUUUUAUAGUUUUUGAAAAACUCUAGAAUCCAAGCAAAGACUGCUUAAGAAUAAAAAUUAAUAAAAAUUUUAAAAAAUGUAAUUUGGAAUAAAAACUAGAAGGGAAGGGGAAAAAAGAAGAAAAUAUCAACAUUGUAGAGGGAUUUUUUUCCCUCUUAGGGGGUUAAGUGUUACAAAAUAGAAAUUAGAGGGUAAAAUGAGAAAUAGGACAUACCUUAGCAAGAUAAAUUGUAAUUAACCCGUAUUAUUAAUUAAAUAAAUCUUAUAUAUACUGACAGUGUUUACACUCUCACGGUUAGAUUUAUGACACGUGUGCAAAAAUUAAAUUUUAUAUUUAAAUUUUAUAUAGUUAUCAUUCAUCUAAUGCUGAUAAUAUAUACACUGUCAGUAUGAAAGAUUAAUCCUUAUUAAUUUAUUAUGUGAUCGUAACUUCAAAGUAGGGGUGGCAAUUUCCGACACGACCUAAAAACACGACACGAACCUAACACGAAAUUAAUGGGUUUGAGUUGAAGUUUCGCGGGUUCGGGUCAGAUUCGGAUUGAACCCGAUGGAGCCGAAAAGAAAACGGGUCGAAUUCGGGUUAACCCGUGGGUGACCUGAUAUGACCCGAUAACCCGUUUAUGAAUUAAAAAUAAUUUAAUAAACAUAAAAAUUAUUUUAUCUAACUAAACUAAGUUAUUCUUUUUUUCCAAAGGUAUUAAUCACUUAAUCCUAAAUGAAUUUAUUUAACUUGUGUGAAGUUGAAAUUAUUAUAUUUGGAUAAAUAAUGUAUCAUAUUAUUUUUUACUUUUAUACUGUUUUAAUUUAUUUUAUAUUUGGUUUGGGAUAAAACACUUUUACGGUGUUUUAAUUUAUUUUAGAUUUAGUUUGGGAUUAUUUAUUUAAAUUUUAUUACUUGAUUAUGUAAUUAGUCUUGUACGAAAUUGGUUUUAUUAGAAAUUAUAAUGAUAAAUUAAUAAAUUAAAAUUAAGUUUCGGAUCGACCCGCCAACCCGUCAACUUGAAAUUUUUGGAUUCGGGUCAGGUAUCCUGACCUGCUUCGGGUUGCCGGAUCAGGUUCGGAUUAGUGGAUUUUCUGUUAUACCCGAGUCUCAACCCGACCCGCCAACCCGAAACGGACCCGAUUGCCACCCCUACUUCAAAGGUGUAACUAAUAAUAUGGACCAUUAACGGUCGUACAUGAGCCAUUAAUUAAGAACAUCUUUAGCUUAAACUCUGACAGCCACUAAGUUUUUAAAUUCCAUACUUAUACCCCUGAAGCAAAUGUUUUGAGUUUAUCUCUAAAAGGACUACCACAUUAGGUGAAUGACCAUUUUCCUUUUUCCCAUGUCCUUUUUCCCAUGUCUUUGCCAUCACACUUUAUUGUCCCUAAAGGGCGGAACGGACUAGUGAAAAUGCCAAGCAUUCAGAUCUUUUCAGAUUAAAGGGCUCCAGCAAGCAUCUACUCAAUAAAGAUGAAGGCCCCAGCAACAGGAAUGAUUAAGAAAAACUCAGGUGAAAAUGCCAAGCAACUUCCAAUGCAGAAGCAUCCGAUUCCAAGCUCACCGACGAAGCAUUGCAAUUCUACACGACCGGAGGACUCUCAAUUGGUCACGUCAUGAACCUUUUUUUUUUUUCUUGUGAAUAGAACAUAAUACUAGAAGUUGAGGUGGAGCCGAGGGUUGUUAAGAUAUAUACAAUAUGAAGUAUCUCCUUGAUUAUGGUAAUUGUACACCUUCAAUGCAAUGACUGUAGUACUGUACAAUUUAAACACGAGUUUGUGUUGUAAUGAAUAUGCCAAAAAAAAAAGGGUUACAUUAUGGUUAAAAAUUUUUGCCAUAAAUUGUCUCAAGCAAUUACGCCCAAUAAUUGUUAAGGCACUUUUUUAACUAUUCAAUGACAUUGAGAGAAAUGCACCGUUGAAGAUAUUCUCUGUCAAUAUUCAUUAGCCAAACAUUGCUCUUUAUUUAUUUAUUUUUUUUUGGAUAGCAUUGAAGCAAAUGCAUCAUUGUUAUUCUUUGCCAAAUUACGGCCAUCAGUUUUUUUUUCUAUUGAAAGAUAGUGACAAUGGCACAUCAAUCUCCCCUCAAAGUGAACUCCACAUCUUUGGUGGCGUAAAACAAGUGGUUGAACUUUAAUUUUCUAAAACAAUACAACAGUGAACCACACAAGUACACUGUGCAUUCUUACUAUUGGCGUGAGUAUCAGGGUUGGUUAUUGUAACAUCUGAUAUUUGUAUGUAUGUUUGUGCAUAUAUAUAUAUAAGGGUGUAUUUGAUAAAAUUGAAGUUUGAAAAUUGAAAUCUAAAAUUUAAAGUCUGAAUUCAUUAAACUAUUUAAUUAUUAAAUAUUAAAUCAAACACUUUUAAGUGUAUAUCACAUUCAGUGAUAAAUAAAUAACUAACUUAUCACUUAUUUUUAAGAGCAAAUUUUGAAAUUCUCCUCUUUGCUCUAAGUAUGCGUGUGUGAAAUUGAAUUAUCAAACACGACCUAAGUGUGCAUGUGUGAAUAAUGCUAUAUAAAUGAGGAAACUUUAAUCUAGUGAUUAAUGUUGAGAAGUCAGGAAUUAGAGAUUCAGGAUUCAAUUCUCCUUUUUGCUUACUCUACUUCUUAAAUCUCGUCCUUGUUUACUACACUUCUUAAAUCCUAGAAAGCCUUGCUUUAGUGUUUAAUGUUAAAACUUCUUUAAUCUCCUCCUUCCUUACUCUACUUCUUAAAUCCUAUAAAAUUUGGUCUAGUAGGUAAGUUUGAAACUCCAAGAAUCAGAGGUCCAAGGUUCACUUCUCGUCUUUUCUCACUUCACUUCUUAAAUCCUACCAUUCAUCCAAUUUUUUUUUUAAAAAAAACUAUAUAAAUGUUUUUGAGUUUAUUUUCAAAAGACUCACUUCUUAAAUCCUGCCCUUACUCUGUUUUUCAAAAAACUUCAUUAACAAAUGAGGUGAGCUGCCAUGUGCACUUUGAUUAGGAACGUGCAGCUUCUUGUCUGUCUGGUUUAUCUCUAAAGUAUUCGAGCCGUUAUUCUAGAUUUAUCAUGGCAACAAACGUAGUACAAUUAAAUAAAAAUGUAGAAUUAGUGUAGAUGCUGUGGAUUCACGAAAUAAUUAAAUAAAAAAAAAAUAGAGAUGAAACUACAACGGAUUAAGGGCUCAUAAUUUGUCGCAUAAUUAUUCUUGCGAAACUUUCUGCAUCCGUCUGUUGAAGCUCAAAUUUGGCAGCAAAACCAUAUCGGUUGAGGUAAACUUGGAAAUCGUAAUCCGUAUUUGAAAUCUAACUUUGAAGUAAAUGUGUUGAGGUACGAUUUCUGAUUUAAUUUAGAGUAAAGAUAUCAUUGUUGAGAGGACGAAUAUCACUUUAUACUCUUGAAACUUGUAUCACUUGCUUACUUUGCAUUCUAAAACUUCAAUGCUAAUCACUUUACAUCCUAAAUUCUCAAUUUUUAACAUUUUACACCCUAAAUUUCAAUUUUAUCUCAUUUAAGUACAAUCAAGGACAAUGUUAUCAAAAUUAAUGAGAUAAAUGAUAGUACAAAUUAAUGACAAUAUAUUGUUUUAUUCUAUCUACUAUCCCUUGAUAUCUUUCAACACAUUGUUAUGAUUCAUAUGGUUCGAAUCGCUUGUACUAUUAGUAAUCUUAAUGAAAUAAAAGACAAUCCAAAUAGAUGAAUAUGUGUCAUUUUGUUCUAACUGUCAUAUCUUUUUGAAUUUUUCUAACGUCGUUACUGAUUGGAUUUAAAUAUGACAAUUUGCAAGUUUAGGAUAUAAAAGUGUCCAAAAUUGAAGUUUAGAGUGCAAAGUGAAAUUAGUCAUCGCUGAAAAGUCUUGUGCAAAGUGUUGACUCCAGGACCUCUGUACCUUGGGGUCUCAGCCUUGUUGAAAGGUUUUGGAAAUGUUUUACAUGCUUGCUAAAAAAGGAGAUCAUUGCUUGUAAUAUAAUACUUUAAAUCUCUCUCUUUCUGAAAGAAGACUUCCUUUCUUGUUAUUCAUAGUAAUAGAAUACAUAACUACUUUAAAUUGUUAAAACCUUCCUCUCUCUCUUUUUUUUUAAUUCGAAGUAAAUUAUUAUUAGAGUAAGUAUCAUAAAAAAUAAUGCAAAGUAAAGCAUUCAAUUGCUGAACUAAUUAGGUGAUGAAAUGACCGAGUCUCAUGAAUAAGGCGCGAAGCUGACCAUCCACUGGAUAUUUCUGCAUACAAAUAAAACCAGCCAUGAAGCAAAAUAAGUACUACAUUGGCAAUAAUUCAUCUAACCACUGGGCCAAGUGGCCAGGGCCAGGUGAGUGAAAAAAAUUUAAAGAUUGUGCCAUAACACUCUUUUGAUCUAGUUGGAUCUGUAUAUCCACUAGCCCCUAUUACAGCCGUCUUAGGCUCCUCCUCUCCUCUAGAUUAGGAUAGAGUAGGUUAUACAAAUGUAGGUUAAAAAAAUGUACCGUUGCCGAAAAAAAAAAAAAAAAAAGGCAAUAAUUCAUCUAGUAACAGGCCCCAGCAUUGAAUCAGAAAAAGACGAAGGCCCAGCAACAACAACAGUGAUUAAGAAAGCUCAGGCGAAAAUGCCAAAGCAACUUCCAUUGCAAAAGCAUCCAAUUUCUUAUUGAAUUGAAGCCCAGCACUAGACUGAUUGAAAACUCCUUAUUUGUCACAUAAUUAUCAUUAUUUAUUUCUUGUACCAAACCAUAGCAGUCGAAGUUGAGUUGGACCACAGGUUUGUUAAUGUGAGCAUAAAUAUCUCAUGUGAUUAGGGUGGUUCUACACCUCGAAUGCAACAAACGUAGUACAAUUUAAGCAUGGGUUUGUGUUGUAAAUUUGUAAUUAAUAUACGCAAAUAAAAGUCAUUGUGUGAUUGUAAAAAAUGGAUAACUGAUUAUGAAUUGUCUAAUUAUAAGGAAGUAUAAUAAAAAUUUUCUCUUAAUUUCUUAAAUUGGAGAAUAAAAGAAGCCGGUGAAUUGUAAUUAAUCUGUUAUACAGAAAAAAAUAUAUAUGUUGUUUCUUCAACUUUAUAAAUUUUUAGUUUAAAAAUUUUUUAUUUGCUUAAAAAUAAAAAUUUUUUAAAUAAGAAUAAAUUUUAAUAAAAAUUUUUAAAAAUGUAAUUUGGAAUAAAAACUAGAAGGGAAGGGGAAAAAAGAAGAAAAUAUCAACAUUGUAGAGGGAUUUUUUUUCCCUCUUAGGGGGUUAAGUGUUACAAAAUAGAAAUUAGAGGGUAAAAUGAGAAACAGGACAUACCUUAGCAAGAUAAAUGGCAAUUAACCCCUAUUAUUAAUUAAAUAAAUUUUAUAACACCGACAGUGCAUACACUCUCACCGUUAGAUUCAUGACACGUGUGCAAAAAUUAAAUUUUAAAUUUAAAUUUUAUAUAGUUAUCAUUAAUACAAUACUGAUAGUGUAUACAUUGUCAGUAUAGAAAAGAUUAAUCCUUAUAAAUUUAUUAUGUGAUCUUAACUUCGAAGGCGAAACUAAUAACGGUCGUACAUGAGCCAUUAAUUAAGAACAUCUUUAGCUUAAACUCUGACAGCCACUAAGUUUUUAAAUUCCAUACUUAUACCCCUGAAACAAAUGUUUUGAGUUUAUCUAUCUCCAAAAGGACAAACAGAUUAGGUAAAUGGCCAUUUUCUUUUUCCCAAGUCUUUGCCAUCACACUUUAUUGUCCCAUUAGGGUGGAACGGACACAUUACACCGCUGUUCCAGCAACCAUUCAUAUCUUUUCAGAUUAAAGGGCUCCAGCAAGCAUUUACUCAAUAAAGAUGAAGCCCCAGCAACAGGAAUGAUUAAGAAAACUCAGGUGAAAAUGCCAAGCAACUUCCAAUGCGGAGGCAUCCGAUUCCAAGCUCGCCGACGAAGCAUUGCAAGUCUACAUUUCUACACGACCGGAGAACUCUCAAUUGGUCACAUCAUGAACCUUUUUUUUUCCCUUGUGAAUAGAACAUAAUACUAGAGGUUGAGGUGGAGCAAAUGCAUCAUUCAAGUUAUUCUUGGCCAAAAUUCAUUCAUCAUUUUUUAAAAGGCUCCAUGAAAGUGAGCUCAACAUUCUUGGUUGUGUGUAAGUUUAAAAGGCUCACUUCUCAGCAAUUUUACAAUUUAAUCAAAGUACUUCAUAUCUCAAGAUACCAUUGAUUCUUAAUUUGUCUUUCAAAAAUAAAAGUUCACGUAAUUUGACAUCACAAGCCUGAUUACUGAGACACAAAGGCAAGCAUAAGUGUUUUACAUGUUUUUCAAAUUAAAAAUAUUUUUUAUAUUCCCCAAAAAAUCUAUAUAAAAAAAAAAAAAAACUUCCUUUCUUGCUUGAAAAAUUGCAUUGUAACACGUUCUAUUGUUAGGCCAAUUAAGCCUCAUGAACGAGACACGGAGAUCAUUGUCUACGAGUAAAUUUCCAAAUUCGGUUGCCUUUUGAAGCUAGUUCCCAAAACGUGAAAGUUUUUAAACAAGGAACGCAUUCGCUAUAUCCAAUGUUUAGAAAUUUAGAAAAAAUUAUAGUUUUACUCCUUACUGUUUAGUCUCUGUGCAAUUUUAGAUCUUGAAGUUUCGGCAAAAAGUAAAUCUAGUCGUCAAUGUAUAGUAUAUGUACAGUUUUAGUCCCUAAAGUUUUGGCAAGAGUAAUCCGAUUUUCAAUGUCACCAAUUUGAAGCAUUUUAAGGACCAUUGAUAAAUUUUUCUAAAUAUUAAUCAAAUCAGUCACGUGCAAUCACAUAUUUGUUUUAAAAAAAAAACUUCUUAAAAGAGAAUCAAAAUAAUGAGUAAUCUUUAACAAUAAGAAUAACUUGCAUGCUAACACAUUAGUAACUAAUUACUCAAGAAAAAAAGAAAGAAAAUUUCUCAAUCUAUACUAAAAAUUAGGAAUCACAUUUUUUUUUUUUUACUUGGAGACACUAGAGAUAGUUAGUGAAAAUCAAUUCUAGAUCGAUGAACUUGGUAUAUUGAAGUUUUAGUUUAAAAAUUUUCCUUCUUUUUACUAGUUAAAUAGUUAACAAAUGAGUUAUUAGUUCUUAAUUUUGUUGCUUAAAGUAAGAUACUAUUUUGCUUCUUUAUUUUGGAAUUUAAUUUAAUAGGCACAUGAUUAGACAUGACUAAAUUUUGUUAGUAAUUGAGAUAAAAUUCUUCAAAUGUCCUAAAUCAGCUUUAAAUUGAAUAUAAAGGGGACCAGACUUGCUCUUGCUAUAACUUUAUGGACUAAAACUGCACAUGUACAAAAUAUUGAGGAUCACGAUUGCUUUUGUUAAAACUUUAUGCCUACUAAAACUGAAUAUUAAGAAUUAAAACUAUCAUUUUUUUCAAAAAUGAAAAAUUUAUGCCUGCAUUCAGCAAAUGCAACUCUUCUACAAUUAUGAUUGGUCCAAUGGUCAAGACCAGCCAACUCUUCAACUCUUUUAACGCAUUCAUCAUCGUGUACAAAAGCGGCCAACUCGCAAAAUAGGUACAACAUUGACAAUAAUGGAGAACUUUUUGGUCUCUGGUUUCUAACGAGAUGGAGUAACCACCCCAGUGUGAACCACUGGGCCAAUGGCUCAGUGGGCUCCCUCCUUGAGCUGUAGGUGAGGGUUCGAACCUCACUUGUAGCGAAAAAAUCGAAGGGUUAUGUUAUAGUAUUCUCUUGAUUUAGUUGGGUCUGUAUACUCACUAAUUCCUACUAUAGCCUCCUUAGGUUCCUCCUCCCCCUUAGAUUAGGAUAGAAUAAAUUAUACAAAUGUAUAGUUGCUUACAAAAAAAAAAAAUUACCCCAGCGUGGUCAUUUGUAAAACCAAGAAAAUGCCAAGCAACUUCCAUUGCAAAAGCAUCCAAAUUUCCCAUUGAAUUGAAGCACUGCACGGCACUACACUGGUCGAGGCCCCCGGAUGUCUUUUCAAGUAUUCUACCGGAACAGCCGAUGGCCGCCUCCAUUGACCCAGCUUAGUGAUAAGUUAUAAUUUUGUCAUUUAUUUUAUUAUUAAUUUUUCCUAUUACCUGACUUGAUAUGGAUUAAUUAUUAGAUUCUAUUCACUUUUUAUAAUUUAUAUUUAUUUCAGAGAGUAGAUCGAAAAUACUAUAAUAAGAACCAAUUUGAUGAUUAUCAGGAAAGCGCUCAAAGGGCAGGCGUCCGGGGGUAUUUUUAGAAUAUCAAGGCGCGACUUUUUUUGAUAAUUUACGAAAGACAGCAUAAAAGGAGGAAAGGAACGAAGGGUUAGGGUGUCACUUCUUCCUCUCCAGAGGAGGGAGCCGGCGCAAGCAUUAGAGUAGACAGUAGACAGUAGAUAGAAAUUAGAAAAAGUGUGCAGAGGAGAGGACGGCUGGAGCUUAGCUUGGGAUUCCUUUUGCCCUUGGAGGCUUUUGAGUUUUGACUAGGACCUCUGCUGCCAUGUCAGGAGCUUAGUUGCUUUCUUUGACUUUUCCUUUUUGUCUUUUAGUACUUUGCUUCCCUCGGAUGUUAGGACAAAGGGGAAGCAUUGAACUUUCCUCUGUAGUUUUCGUUUUCCUCGAUUGCUCAAACGAAGUGAAUUUUCCCAAUUUUGAAAGACGAUGGCCGCUGCUUUCUCUUCACCUUUGUGCGAGUUUUUCGCAUCAGGGAUGAACUAAAUUUUCUUUUCUAGUCAAGACAUAACGGAGGUUUUGAUUCGUCUAAAAAUUGUGAGAUCAAUUUAAUUUUAUCUUUUUCUUUUAUUUAUUAGUAUUCACAUAUUUCUUAUUUGCAGUGCGUGUGAUUAUUUAAUUAAUUGAUUGUUUUGGAUCCAAAUAAUUAGUUAAUUGGGUAAUCUAUUGUCAAUUAGGGCAUUAAAUCCGUAAUUGUUUAAUUGCUCUAAAAUAGUGACAACUGGCAUGAUUAGAUUUGUGUCAGGGGAAUAUGCGGGUUAAUCUAAAAUAACCCUGGUAGUGCGUUAUUUGGUUAGAAUAGGGCUCCUCUAAUACGUAAGGCAAUUGGGGAAUUAAAUUCUACGGGCGUACCUAGAAUUGUUUUCCAAUUAGAGAAGUGAUUAACGGGUAUACCUUGAUCACCGACACAGUAAGGAGGGGUUGACUGCCAUCGCUUGUUUGGCAGUUAUAACCUAUUUAUUAGUGAAUAAUUGGAAUUGCCUUUGUUUCAAUGAUCAACUAGGUGAACCAUUGCUGAAGUUAUUCCUUGGCUAGAUCCUUAAUUAUCACUCGUUUGAUUUUAGUAAUUUGUUAUUUAAUUUCUAGUUGACUAUUCUAUUUUAUUAUUUUACUUUUAGUUGGAUUGCUUAAAUUGUCACCCCUGAGAUAAAAACACCCCCCUUGCCACUGUGAACUUAAAGAGAAACAAUUACUCCCAAUCCCUGUGGAUUCGACCCUGCUCAUCACUAUCUACAGAAAUUAACUUUAGUUUGAGCAGGUUUUAUUAUUGCACAGGUUUCGACAACCUGUCAAUUAUUAGGAGAGUUUGUGGUUUAGAAGCUAACCGAAGUGAUGUUUCUUGGAUCUUGAUCACUCAUGCUUGAUAUAUAUUUUUCUUGGUAUUUUGGCAAUAUGGUAGAUGGAGCAAUGACCAUUGUCAGAUAUUGGUACUUGUUUGUUGUUCUCAUGCUUGAGGGCAAGCAUGGUUUAGGUGUGGGGGGAAUUGAUAGGUUGCAAUUUUAUCAUUUAUUUUAUUAUUAAUUUCCCCUAUUAUCUGACCUAAUGUGGAUUAAUUGUUAGAUUCUACUCACUUUUGAUAUUUUACAUUUAUUUUAGGGAGUAGAACGAAAAUAUGAUAACAAGUGCCAAUUUAACAAGAAAAGAGUCCAAGUAAUAGAGCUUAUCCCAGGGGCAUUUUUGAAAAAGGAACACUGAAACCCAAUUUGGUAAUUACCGCAAAGGCUAGGACGGCUGGAGGGUUUUCUUCUUGCUGGUGGGCCGCCGCAGAGAAGGGUCACUUUUGGAUUGCUUUUGUUGACUUUUCUCUUGUGGGCUUUUGGCUUAAUUUUCAAUUCUCGUAUGUAAAAAGAGGGAAUUAGCACUACUUUAGGGAAUUUGGCUUUACACUUUGACUUGGCCGUUUUCCGUCUUUUAGUAGUUGCUCCUGCGCAAGUCAGGAGCACUGCGGGGAUGGAGGAGCCUUUGAUUUUUCCUUUCAUCUGGAGUUGCUACUUUUCUUUUAUUUUCGAUAGGAGUAGACAAGGGAUGAAUUAAAUCCCUUUGUCUAGUCAAGGAACAACGGAGGCUUUGGCUCGCUUAAAAAUUGUGAGAUCCAUUUAAUUUUAUAUUUUACUUUUAUUUAUUGGUAUUUGCAUAUUCCCUGGUUGCAGUGCUUAUGGUUGUUUAAUUAAUUAAUUGUUUUGGAUCCGGAUAAUUAGUUAAUUUAAUAAUCUAUUGUCAAUUGAGGUAUUAAAUCCGUAAUUGUUUAAUUACCUCAAAAUAGUGACAACUGGCAUGAUUAGAUUUGUGUCAGGGGAAUACGCGGGCUAAUCUAAAAUAACCCUGGUAGUGCGUUAUUUGGUUAGAAUAGGGCUCUUCUAAUACGUAAGGCAAUAGGAAAAUUAAAUCUUACGGGCGUACCUAGGAUUAUUUCUCAAUUAGAGCAGUGAUUAACGGGCGUACCUUAAUCACCGACACAGUAAGGAGGGGUUGACUGCCAUCGCUUGUUUGGUAGUUAUAACCUAUUUAUUGAUAAAUAAUUGGAAUUGCCUUUGUUUCGAUGAUCAAUUAGGUGAAUCAUUGCUGAAGUUAUUCAUUGGCUAGAUCUUUAAUUAUCACUCAUUAGAUUUUAGUAAAUUGUUAUUUAAUUUCUAGUUGGCUAUUUUAUUUUUAUUAUUUUACUUUUAGUUGAAUUGUUUAAAUUGUCACCCCUGAUAUAAAAACACCCCUCUUGUCACUGUGAAUUUGAAAAGGAACAAUUACUCCCAGUCCCUGUGGAUUCGACCCUGCUUACCACUAUCUACAGAAAUUACUUUUAGUUUGAGCAGGUUUUAUUAUUGCACAGGUUGACAAUCUGUCACUUAGUAUUGUCACGGCCGACAAAAUUUGGUCUAAGCUUUCAUACAGCUAUUCUUUAGCAAAUCAUGCAACAUAUAUUUAUUUGUAAACCAAACUUGUAACAAAUAUUUGGAGAAAAUAGAGAAACUAUUGGUGCCCUCUUUUUGCUUCAAGAUCAGGUAACCUCCUCUUCUAUUCAUAGCUCCUUCAUAGUAUUAUGGAUACAUUGGCAUGGGGUAUAUGAUGGAAUUCAUUUUUGUCAUAUGAAUUUUCAAAAUUCCUUAAUGAAUUAAAUUUAAAAUUUCACAUGUUUUAGUUGUUUCUUGGAUAUUUGAUUGUGCUUUGAUAGCUUAUUCUUGGUCUUCUACCUGAUUAUAUGAAUAAUUGUACGGCUUCAAUAAUUUUUUUUCAAAAUUAUCCCUCUUCAAUAAUAUCUAACAAUCCUGGACAAGUAGGAUAAGAGAUUAUGACGUAUGCAUUUCUAGGAAAGUUCGUUAAUUUGCAUUUAGAUCAAAGUUUAAACAUGUUGGAUAAUCAUCGUAGACAUCAAUUUAUGCUGCACUUAGUACUGAUCUUAAUCACUUACAACUAUGAUCAGAUUAUCACCAAUUAAUGGCUUGGCAUAAUCCCUUACUACAACUUUUGCCGGUUCUUUUAGUUGGAGUAAUAUACUCGUAAGGCAGCAUAUGACAUGAAAUAAUUGAUUUUUUUUUUCCAACUAGUAUUGGGUGGCAAACUAUGAUCAUAUUUUAAGGACUUCGUAUAUAUAGUAAGAUUGUCUGAUUAGCAACAAAUUUAUUAUUUUAGUUACCUACUGACUCAUAAAAACAAAUACACUAACAUUAAUUAAUACUUUUAGAUGGAUAAGAAAUCACACGAAGAUUCAAAUCAGUUUCACAUUCAACAAAAACAAUGACAAUUAGUUGGUGUUCUUCCACAAUUAAGGCCCCCACCAGUGACUAAAUCAGAUUGCGCUAAAAUUAUUUUGAAGUGACCCCACACAAUUUGAUUAAUCACAAUUAUAUUAAUCUGAAUCUCACACAUCAACCCACUGGAAUCGUUAACUCAUCUCUCUCUUAUUCUGACUGGCUUCUAUUCUGAUUUCUACCAUUUGUUGCUGAAACAUUCCUUCCAUCUCUGAUAUCAGCAAACCUUUCGAUCCUAGUUCCAAUUCCAAGCAAGAAACAAUGGCUGACGCUGUUAUCAGUGCUACUGUUGAGGUCGUCUUGGGGACACUUAUUUCCAUUGCUGCGGACCGCAUUGGUAUGGUUCGGGAGGUCAAAGCAGAGUUGGAGAGACUAAGCAACACUGCUGCAAUGAUCCAAGGUUUCUUGGCUGAUGCUGACGGGAAAAUGCAUACCCAAGGGGUGCGAGAGUGGCUCAAGCAGCUAGAAGAUGAGGUUUUUAAAGCUGAUACCGUGCUAGACGAGCUCAACUACGACAAUCUUCGUCGGGAGGUGAAGUACCGAAAUCAACCAAUGAAGAAGAAGGUAUGCUUCUUCUUCUCCUUCUUUAAUGCAAUUGGCUUUAGUUCCAGCUUGGCUUCAAAGAUCCGAGACAUCAACACCAGCCUAGAGAGGAUCAACCAGGGAGCCGGUCACUUGGGAUUGAUCAACCAAAUUGAUCAACCCCCUGCUGAUGCCGCUGGUGCCAGACAGACCGACUCUAUUGUCGUUCCGAACGUUGUAGGAAGAUCCGGCGACGAGUCAAAGAUUGUGGACAUGUUAUCGAGCCCAUCUGAAAAGGUUCUUUCUGUUAUUCCCAUAACAGGCCCGGGAGGUUUGGGAAAGACAACUCUGGCGAAAUCAGUCUACAAUAAUCCAAAAAUAGAUGGGCACUUUGGCCAAAAAAUUUGGGUUUGUGUGGCUAGAAAAAUUGAUACAGUGGUGCUGUUCAAACUCAUUUUAGAAUCGUUGACAAAAACAAAGGUUGAAGUGGAUGGUAGGGAAGCCAUAGUUCAAGAAAUUCGAGGAAAGCUCAAGGGACAAAGAUAUUUCCUUGUUCUUGAUGAUGUGUGGGAUCAUGAUCAAGGAUUGUGGGAUGACUAUUUCAACACUUUGAUGGGACUCAACGAAACCAAAGGAAGCUGGUGUCUUCUCACUACUCGUCUAGAAUAUGUGGCUAAUGCUGUGCCUAGACAUUUGCAAAUGAAUGAUCGUCCUUAUUUCUUAGGAAAGCUAUCAGGUGAUGAGUGCUGGUCCAUCAUAAAAGGAAAGGUGAUGAGUGCAGGGGAAGAAGUACCAGAAGAAUUGGAAGCAUUAAAGGAACAAAUUUUAAGAAGAUGCGAUGGCCUACCCUUGGCGGCAAGUUUGAUUGGUGGCUUGUUGCUUAACAACAGAAGAGAGAAGUGGCACUCCAUUGUGCAGGAGAGUCUUUUGAAUGAAUAUCAAAGCCAAAUUAAUCAAAUACUUAAGGUGAGCUUUGAUCAUUUAUCAUCUCCAUCAGUUAAGAAAUGUUUUGCAUAUUGCUCGAUUUUUCCCCAGGACACUGAAUUAGGAGAAGAUGAACUAAUUGAGCACUGGGUUGCUGAAGGUUUUGUUCUACCAGAUCGGGAAAACACAGGAAUGAUGGAGGAAAGAGGAGGCGAGUAUUUGAGGAUUUUGUUGCAAAAUUCCUUGCUGGAAAAAGUCGAAGAGCCGUGGAGAACAUACUAUAAAAUGCACGAUCUCGUGCAUGAUUUUGCAAAAUCAAUUCUCAAUCCUAAAAGCAGCAAUCAGGAUCGCUACCUUGCAUUGAACUCUUCUGAAGGUUUGGCAGAAAAUACCACAAGGACAAUACCAGCAUCAAUUCGCACGUUAUUUCUCCAUCUAGAGGGUGGCGUAUCUACUGACAUGCUUUUAAGAUUCAAGUGCUUGCAUGUUCUCAAAUUGUCUGGAUAUGAUGUCGAGUCUCUACCGAGCUCCAUUGGCAAACUACUACAUUUGCGGCUGCUCGACAUUAAAUCUUCUAGAAUCAGAAGUUUGCCGGAAUCUCUUUGCAAGCUAUAUAAUUUGCAGACACUAACAAUGAGAGCUGGUGACCUUGAAGGAGGUUUUCCAAAACGGAUGAGUGAUUUGAUUAGCUUGAGACAUCUAAACUAUUACCAUGAUGAUGCAGAAUUUAAAAUGCCGGCGCAGAUGGGACGAUUGACUUGUCUUCAAACUCUGCGAUUCUUUAAUGUAAGUCAAGAGAGGGGUCGUGGUAUCGAAGAGCUUGGGACCUUGAAAUAUCUGAAAGGAUGGUUGGAGAUAAGAAAUCUUGGACUAGUGAAGGGCAAAGAAGCGGCUAAAAAAGCAAAAUUGUUCGAAAAGCCAGAUCUGUCUUUCUUGGAGUUUAAAUGGAAGAGUGGGGAACGGGAAAGCGAUAACCGUGAGGAGGAUGUGUUGGAAGGUCUCCAACCUCACCCAAAGUUGCAAAGGUUGGGAAUUCAUUCUUUUAUGGGUAAUAAAUUUCCACAAUGGCUUAUCAAUUUGUCAAAAUUGGAGGCAUUGUGGAUAGAUGACUGCAAGAGAUGCAGUGAACUCCCCUCGUUAGGGCAACUGCCAUCCCUCAAACGUCUCUUUUUGAGAAGAUUGGACAACAUUCAAUCUGUUGGAGAUGAAUUAUAUGGUAUUAAUACUAAUGAGGAGGAGGAGGGCAGAUCACGAGCAUCAGGGAGCUGCACUAGAAGACGAAAAUUCUUUCCUGCCCUUGAAGUACUCCAUGUAAGGGAUAUGGAGAAAUUGGUAGAGUGGAAGGAUGCAGAGCAAGCGAGGUCAACGGUAGGUGAAGCAGAAGCAGAUGUCUUUCCCAUGCUGAGGGAUUUUUACAUUGGAUGUUGCCCACAACUGACCACUGUUGCAUGCUCGUGUAAAAGUCUAUACGUGGAGAAUUGCGGUAAUCUAACAAGUAUAAAAAAAAUGGGUUACGGCGCUGCUUCUGUUGAGGACUUGUGGAUCGACUCUUGCGACAAUCUUAGGGAGCUGCCAGAUCUGGAUCUGUUUGGAUCGAGUUUGCGGCAAUUGGCCAUCAGAUGGUGCCCAAGAUUAAUUAGUCUAGGAGUAAAUGGACAGAAAUGCCCCCUACCAUGCCUUGGGAAUUUGUGUAUUGAUAAUUGCGAAGGCUUGACCACUAUAUCCGACAAAAUGUUCCAGUCAUGCCGGUCUCUGCGGUCCCUGUCGGUGAUGAGGUGCCCCAAUCUAGUGUCGUUUUCGCUUAAUUUGCAGGAGACGCCUUCUCUCGAGAAAUUCGCCCUACUCGACUGUCCCAAAUUGCUUCCUCAUAGUUUCAAAGGAUUUGCUUUUGCCGCCAGCUUAAGAAAAUUGAGCAUCAACAGUCCCUUCUCCUCAGAUGACUCCUCAAUUGAUGAUUUUGAUUGGUCUGGUUUAAGAUCAGCAUCAACACUCCGUGGGCUUCGCUUAGAAGGGUUACCUCACACGGAGUCCCUGCCACACCAGCUUCAAUACUGGACUACCCUCACUUCACUAAGUCUCUUCAACUUUGGAGGAAUAGAAGUGCUACCGGAUUGGAUUGGAAACCUUGUGUCCCUUGAAACAUUAAAGCUACGGUCUUGCCAAAAGCUUCAAUCUUUACCACCCGAGGCCGACAUGAGACGCCUCACCAAGUUAACUUGUGUUGAUGUUUAUCGGUGUCCUCUAUUAAGACAACGAUACACUCCCCAAAGAGGCAUCUACUUGGAGGAGGAGAUUUCAAGUGAUCCGGUGAGAUUUUCCUAUCUAAAGUUCACACGCAUAUAUUGUUGAAAUGCCUUGAAUCACACGCAUAUAUCUAAAGUUCACACGCAUAUAAAGUGUUACCGUUUGUUUUAUUUCGGGUCUUGUUUUGGGUCUAUUUUUUGGUCCAAUCUGUUUGAUUGUAUAUAUAUACACCUUAUUUUAGUCUGUAAACUAUUCCGAUUACAACCCAAAUAAAAUCUAAUUUCCCCCAAGUUGUUCUUGUCCGUUCUUGUUUGUUCUUCUGUUCCGCUGCAUCUGUUAUAACAUAUAUAUGUGUAUAAAUUUUUUGUAUCUGCAUCUCAUUGACAUAUAUUUGCUCUUCAGUCUCUUGUACUCUUUUUCUCCAUCUCUUUUCUGCAAAGUUAUUCUCUGUAAUUAAUUCUCUUCUUUUGGGCAGACCUUGGUUUCUCUUCAAAGAUUAGUUUUAACAAAGCCUGGUUUUGAGCAAAUUGGAAGAGGCCAAAAUUCUGGAUUUUCUCUGCAUCUCGCAAUUGAAAGAUUUUGAACAUCUUAAAAACUCAACUUGUUACCUUCUAUUUGGCCAAGCAUGAAAUUAUUAGCAACGGUGCAUACACAAUUAGCCUCUUUGUUUGAAUGUGUUAGCAAAUGUUUCAUUGGAUGUGCAAUGCUAGAUGCACAUGGGAGCAUUCAUCAUUUUUCUGUCACCGAUAUUGCCAGUCUGAAUGGACAACAUUAAAGCUAAUCAAGAAACAAUUGUGAAGAAAAUUCAAGAUGCAAUUUGCUAUUCUUUGGGACUCUGUGUUCUUAUUGCCAUAAAAUUAUAUCAGUCUCCUUGAAGUUCAGAUAUGUUUGUUGAGGAACUAGAGUGCUGCAAAACUUCACCCCUUACAAUCGGUGAUGCAUGCUUCAUAAGAAUGACAAUAAUAUGGGAUCAUUGUUUAUCAUCUUUCAUAAGUUUGAGAAGUUUCUUCAUCACAACUACCUUGUUUUUUUGUUCUGUGAGCUGAAUUACUAUAUUGUUACCUUGUAGACAAGCAGUGACAGCGAAUAAGAAAGCAAUAAUGGUGCUCAAAUAUCAGUUUCAUGUUGUUUCCCAUCGUUGCUGAAGAAGGAGAAACCAGGAGAGGUAUGAUGGUUCUCAAGCAUCAGCUUCUCUCGCCAAGAACUCUUUUCAACCUCCGCCCAAUUUAUUAAAAAACACAAGGGAAUUGGAGCAAUUUUUUAUCAAAGUAUGCUUGAGUGAAAAUAGGGUGUUUUUCUGCACUUUCAUGUACUUUUGAACAUUUGUCCUAUGCUAUAUAGCUUAGUUCUUAAUCUUUAAGAUUGUACAUUUACUAGGUGCUUAACACGUCAUUUGAUUGUGAAAGAAGCUGGUUUUUUCCAUUUUCUUGUACUGAAUACUAGACCAUACCUUUUCUUUGCGUUCCUUAGCUGUCAUAACUGAAUUCAUGCUGAAAUGUAACAUUAUGAUGGUAUUUUCCAGAGUCUUAGAAAGCGGACCUCAUGUUGCUGGACAAAGACACCACCCUUUGCUGUUGCAUUUCUUACAAGAUUGCCAGGGGGCAGAAGUUAUUUUCACUGACUAGACAGGUUUGAAGAUGAAGUUAGUAAUCAAUGAUGAGAAUUUUACACAUCAGAGAGCGCUAGCUUUGAUGGAGGCUUCACCAGUAGGUGGUUCUCCCCAGGUUUCCCAAACAUAAGCUUUUACUCAUCUCCUGCUCGGGCUGCAGAAAGAAAGGUAAUAAUUUAGCUUGUUCAUCUUCAGGGCCGUUUUGAUAGUUUUUUAUCCGCAUUCUUGAUUUGUAUUUCAUAAAUCAAUUACCAAAACUUUUUUUCCCUUUGGUGUAGCAUGCUGAUUGCUGAACAAAUUGAAAGAGACCAAAAUUCUGUGUUUUCUCUGCCUCUCUGAACUACUGAAAGAUUUGAACAUCUUAAAUCUCUUUAACUUCAACUUGUUGCAUUCUAUCUGGCCAAGGACAAAAUUAUUAGCUACGGUUCAUACCCAAUUAACCUCUUUGUUUGAAUGUGCUACAAAAUGUUUCAUGUGAUUUACAAUGCUAGAUGUAGAUGGACACAUUCUUCAUUUUUCCAUCACUGAUAUUGCCAGUCUCAAUGGAUAACAUUAAAGCUAAUCGAGAAACGAUUUUCAAACAAAAUUCAUGAUACAAUUUGCUGUUCUUUGGGACUCUGUGUACUUAUUGCCAUAAAAUUAGAUCAGUCUAAUUGAACUUCAAAUAUGUAUGUGGAGGAACUAGAGUGCUGUGAACAUUCACCCCUUAUAAUUGAUACUGCAUGCUUCAUAUCAAUGAGAAUAAUGUUGUUUUCUUUUCAAUGACAAAAAUGUUGGAUAAUUGUUUAUCAUCUUUCACAAGUUUGAAAAGUUUAUACGACACAAUUGCCUUGAUUUUCUGUUCAGUGAGCUGGAUUACUGUAUUGCAACCUUGCAGAUGAGCAAUGCAAACUCAAACAUCAGCUUCAUGUUGUUCUCCAUUGCUGCUGAAGAAGAAGAGCUCAGGAGGUAUGUGGUGCACAAAAGUGAUAAUGCAGCACUUCUCUCCCCAAGAACUCUAAGUUUGCAUUCUAAUAUGCUCAAGUCAUCUAAUUGGCAUGAAAACAGGGUGUUUUUCUGCACUUUUAUUUGUUGUUGACUGUUUACCCUGUGCCACAUAGCUUAUCUUUUGCUCUUGAAGAUUUUUAUGUUUAUCUGGUGCUUAACAUGUGUUGUGAUUGUGAAAGAAUCUGGUUUUCAAUUUUCUUGCACUAGUUACCAGUCCAUACCUUUGCUUUGCUUUCGUAGUUUGUCAUGAUUGAAGCUGUUCUGAAAUGUAAUAUUAUGAUGUUUAUUCCAGAGUCUUAGGAAGCAGACCUCAUGUUAUUGGACAAAUGACACCACUGAUUGCCGUUGCAUUUCUUACUAGAAUGCCAAGGGACAGAAGUUAUUUUCAUUGACCAGACAGGGCUUGAAGAUGAAGGCAGUUAUCAAUGGUGUUAAUUUAGCUCAUUAGAGAGCAUUAGCUCUGAUGGAUGUUUCAGAAAUAGUUGGUUCUCCCUUGGUUUCUCAAACAUAAGUUUUUCGUUAUCUGCUGGUCAGAAUGCAGAAAGGAAGGUAAUAAUUUAGCUUGUACGUCCUUAGGGCAGUUUUAAUAAUUUCUGAUCUGCUUUCUUGAUAUGUAUUUAGUAAAUCAAUUACCUAAACUUUUUAUUUCUUUUGCUGAUUUGCUGAACUGAAAAUGGCUAGUAGCAGGCUUGUAGAGUGUGAUAUGGAUGAAGAAAAAGAGAGGGAAAACAUCCGAGCAUGGAAGCUGAUACAGGAGACCUAUCAAGGUGCGCAGCUGAUUUUAGGCAAACUGGACUGAUGGACUUGGUGAAAGAGUUGGAUGUUUGUGACAGUAGAGACAAUAAAUUGGAUAAACAAUCAAUUUGGAGGAGUGAGAAAUGUAGAUGCAAGAAGUCUUGAAUUGCACAAAGGUCCAAGGAAGAGGAGGGAAAACGUUCUUUUCAGUAGAUGUGUGCAUAUUUUGUGAAGAAUUAACACUUCUUAAAAGAUGGCAUUUCAUACUUUUGGCGUAUCAGAAUGUGACAAGUCCUGAUGGUGCGUUUUCUUCAUCUUUUACAGGGAGUAAAAGUAUGUCUAGAGACCAAAUUUGUAAGAUUUCCUACCCUUUUUUAGCUAGACAUUUGAUAGAGAGAACUUAGAACUCUUGUUACUUUUCCUCUUCAAGUAAUCAUUUUUUGUUAUCUCUGCGAAAUUGCUUAAUCCAGUGGUUUGUUAGCCACCGAUGCUUUGGGUUCAUAAACAAAUCAUGACAGUAAAAUCUGAAUGAUGAUCUUAUUGUUAAAGGCUUUUAUAUAAAAGUGGAUACUUAAUACAAAUGAAACAACGUAUUUGUAUUAAUUCUAGAUCCGUGAGAUGUGCGUGCCCAUCGAAUAUUUGUAUAACAAGGAAUCAAGAAAGUUUUGGGCAGGGAAGGAGCCAGCCAAGUACAAGGCACUUUGCCUAAUUUAUAGGAGUAUAUUUUAUGAAAUUUUCAUCAGUGUUGAGUAAAUUUGUCAUCCUCUUUCCAAAUUUUUAAAUUAAACUGCAAUAUCCAAUAUUAGGUCGUAUUAUAAAUUUUCUCCUCUCUAAUUCUCCUGCUCUGCCAUUGAAGUUUUUAACAAAAAUGUCAUACAAUUCUAACAACUAGAGUUGUCAACAAUUGAACUUGGUACUGACUAUUGACUCGGUAAAACUUACUAAAGCUGUUAAAUUAAGUACUUGUACAAAAAUUUUUAUUUUCGUCACUUUCUUUCAAGCAAAGUAGGGAGAGAUGACCAAUCCAUACCAUUUUUCUUCGAUACAGGAGAACACGAGAUAUUUAUUUUUAAGUUGGACCGGAUUUCAACUGAAUCAACUACUACUAGAAUAUUUGGCCACCAAAGAUAGGCUUACAACUCUUCUUGGUUGUUGGUCAAGAGAUCAAAUUUCUUGAUUUUCAUUCUUCUCCAAGAUUUCUUCAAAAAUUCAUCAACCGAUGCAUAGGCACCUAUCUGAUCCUGUGAUAGUUCAGUCUCCUCUGAGUGCUCCAUUGAUCGUUUUGGAUCCACCCAAUCGCCGUAAUGUAAAGUAGGAAUAGGUAUAGAAUAAAAAUUAUCCAGUCAACAAAAAAAAAGGGACAGGUUUCAACUAAAAACCAAUGAGUCCAUUAGGCUACAAUAUUUGCCAAAAAAAAAUUAUUUAAUUUCAUAAAUAUAACUUUUAAUCAUCUUUUUAUCUCACGUAUAUCAUACCAUUAAAAGUGCUAUAAUACUAUAAUUCCAUUAGGCUACAAUAUUUGCAAAAAUAAAUAAAUAUUGUUUAACUUCACAAAUAUAACUUUUAACUAUCCUUUUAUCUUACGUAUAUCAUACUAUUAAAAGUGCUACAAUGCUAUAAUUCGUUAUUGACUCUUUGGACUACGAAAUUCUUUUCUCAUGUUUGCUCAUAAAUGAGACAUGAGACUUUAGUCUUCAUUCUUCAGUUGAACUUAGACGUUUUAGACUUUUAGUGAAGCAUUUCUUUCAGGUAAAAUAAAUUUCACUAAAGCAUUUAAAUAAUUAUAGAAAACUACUGUUCUCUUUAAUUUGGAUCAUAAAAUAUUUAAAGGUCAAUAUGGGACGUGAGACUUCAGUCAUAUGAACUUCGACGUUUUAGACUUUUAGUGAAGCAUUUCUUUCAGGUAAAACAAAUUUCAGUAAAGCAUUUAAAUAAUUAUAGAAAACUAUUGUUCUCUUGAAUUUGGAUCAUAAAAUAUUUAAAGGUCAGACAUAUUGAUUCCAAUGUUGUUGAACCUCAAAGUAAUUAUCAAAGAAACUUUCGCAACAAUAUCCUACCAAGAGAUUCAUCAUCCAGGCCAUAUUGCAUUUUGAAAAUCAUACCUUUCCAAGCCUACCAAAAUCACAAUAUUACAUAUAAUCAGUUAACUUCUGGUCUUCGUGAAGUAUGUAUAGUCCGUGUUCGACCCAUUUCUUUGACAAAGAAAACAAAAAUUAUACUAGUAAAAGAAACGACCAUAUGAAAGAAACAGUAAUAACACUAGAUUCAAACGUAUGAAAUCCUUCGUGGACUGAAAUUGCAAAUACCCUUUUCCCUUGACAAAGGAUUCCACCACGCAAAGACUUCCUUAUUGACAAAGGAUUCCGCCCGGGGCAAUUGCUCAACUCAAGCUGAAUUCAAGUAGCUUUAUGAAUGUUCAAAUUAAACUCAAGAAUAAUAAUGAUCUACUCAAAAUCAUUAAAAUUGUGUUGAACUCGUAUAAUAUAUAAGGUUAAUUCUACUUUAUCCCCUUUAAUAAUUAUAUGCAAAAUCUCACUUUAAUCCCUAAACUUUAAAAUAGAAUACUUGAAUUCUUAAGGGAUAAUUUCAUAAACCUCCCUUGAGGUUUUUAACAAUUUCACUCAACUCCCCUAAGGUUUCAAUAAUUACAUAGACCUCCCUUGAUCCAAUCAAAUGACUAAAAUGUCCUUCUCUUAAUAGUUAAUUCAUAACGGGAUAUUUAAAGAUGAAAAUACUUCUUAUUAUUUUACUUGUCAUUUCCUAAUUUUAAAGAACAAUUUCCAUCAAUUUUCUGAUUUCAUCUCUUUCUCCCUUCUUAUUUCAUACUCUUCUCUCUUUUUCUCUUACAACCGUUUCUCCCUCUCACCCAAAAUCAUACUCCAUUGUUACCAAUCACACCACUAGCAACUUUUUAGCAUCUUCAAAAUUUAUCUGUAUUUUUGUCUUCCUUUUUCCUUUCUUUUAUCCUCCCCCAACUUUUCCGGCCAAUAUCUCCGUCCUCAACUUUUCCACCAAUACCGUGCACUCCUCCUACAACGCCACCACUCUGGCCAUCAAUAUCAUACUAGUAUUAAUAGUUCUUUCGUGUACUGUAUUGCUAAACAACUAGGAGUAGUCUAUAUUAUUAUUAUCCAAAGAUCUUAAGAUGGGAGUAGUCUAGAUUAUGAGGUGGAGUAUGGAAGUAGAAGUGGAAGUAGCGGACUAGCAAGAACUUAAUUCCAACUGAGAAUUGCGACUAUUUUUUUGUAAAAUUCCGUCCAUGGCUCCACCCGCUAACCAUAGUUAGCAAUAGUGAUGGAAUCUAGUUGGACACAACCAUGGUUAGCAAUAGUGAUGGCAGCAUCUAAUGGCUUUCAUGGUUUGGGAAGAUCGCGGAGAAGGGAAUAGCCCCAUCUACGCUAUGACCGUUGAGAAAAAUCUGAAGAAGAAUCUAGUGCUGUGCUCCCAGGAAAGAAGAACACGAGUUUCUUUAACUUUUGAUGACGUGCUUCUGGGGAAGUAGGAAACGAAACGAGUAAGAGGACAGAAGAAAUAAAAAGGAAAAAAAAGGAGAAGUAAAGAAAUAUUUUGCUUAAUUACAAAUUUUUAAGGUUUUUCUUUUGGAUCUCAUGAAAUUUCAUUUAUAUCCCUAUUAGAUUUGGUUUACAUUAUUGCAGUAAUAAGCUAACGGAAUUGGCAACCAUUCUGCUAGGUAUUAUGCAUUCAGUCAAAAACCAGAGUAAAGUGAGACGAAUUUUAUAAUUUAGGAGUUUAAAUGUUCCAUUUUGAAACUUAAGAACUGAAGUGAAAUUUCAGUGUACAUUUGAGGGGAUAAAAUGGAAUUAACCCUAAAGACAUUCUCGUGUAGACUGUAUAUUACUUUACAUCAUUAUAUAGACAAUUGAGUUUGAAUUGUCACGCUGACAACUAUGGUCUUUCUUUCUUUUUUUUUUUUGUCGGCACAGGGGUGUUCGGGUCAAUUCUUAUGGGACUCGAUUAAUCCCCUGCGAUCUGAGUUCGGCGCCCCAACCCGAUCAAGGCACGAUAAGUACACAGGCGUCCCUAUAGCGCAGUUUUGAACCCGGGACCUGAAGGUUUCAAGGGAACGCUGCUAUCAUGUGGCUAAACCUGUGGGGAUGACAACUAUGGUCCACAAUAGAACUUUUAUAAGAACAUUAUACAUGCAUACAUAUAUUAUACAUAUAUAUGUAUGUAUAUAUUUGUAGAGUAAAUUUUUUUUAAUGUAUUAAUAGUGCAUACAUUAUUACGAUUGGAUGCACGAGACAUAUAUAAAAUUUGAUUUUCAAAUUAAAAUUUAGAUUGUGUUUCAUACAUAUACAUUCAAAAAUUAAAAUAUAUACACGAUAAGUGCACAGGCGUCCCCAUAGCACAGUUUCGAACCCGGGACCUGAAGGUCCCAAGGGAACGCUGCUAGCCUGCUAUCAUGUGGCUAAACCCGUGGGGACGACAACUAUGGUCCAUAAUAGAACUUUUAUAAGAACAUUAUACAUGCAUACAUAUAUUAUACAUAUAUAUGUAUGUAUAUAUUUGUAGAGUAAAUUUUUUUAAUGUAUUAAUAAUGCAUAUAUUAUUAUGGUUGGAUGCACGAGAUAUAUAUAAAAUUUGAUUUUCAAAUUAAAAUUUAGAUUGUGUUUCAUACAUAUAUAUUCAAAAAUGAAAAUAUAUACACUGUUAGUGUAUAUAAGAUUAAUUCAUAUAUGUAUGUAUGUAUUUAAGUGGUGGACUAAGUUCAUCCGCCAAUUUUUUUUUUUUACGCAACGAUACAUUUGUAUAACCUACACUAUCCUAAUCUAGGGGAGGGGAGCCUAAGGAGGCUGUGGUGGGGGCUAGUGGGUAUACAGACCCAACUAGAGCAAGGGAGUGCUAUGACACAACUCUUAGAUUUUUUUCGCUGCAGGUGAGGUUUGAACCCUCAACCUACAGCCCAAGGAGUGACUUAAGUCCCUCCCUGCCACUGAGCCAUUGGCCCAGUGGUUCACAUCCGCCAAUUGGAUUUGGACAAAUUUAAGUCAAGCACAAAUGGAGGUCCAAACGGGAGUCACGAGUCUGCCCAUUUGCAGCGCUAUUAAUAAUGAAUACUUCAAAAGUCGUUGGCAGAGGAGAUCAAUUAUUUUGAAGUUAAUUUCAGUUCACUACUACUAUAAAUAUAUAUAUAUAUAUAAACUAAAAUUCAAAAAUUUACAGCCAUUUCCAAAAUCCUAAAUGGCCACUCAACAUCUACAACACCACCGUGGAGGCAGCAGCACCGCCGCUGGCGCCGGCGGAAGCAGUAUCGACGAUGCUAUCGGAACAGACCUUCUCCACAACAUCAUCUCCCGGCUUCCGGCUACGUCCUUCUCCUCCGCCGCCUGCGUUAAUCGCUCCUGGAAUUCCAUCUGCUCGAGAAUUCUCUCUUACCCUAAACUCUCCUCCGCCAUCUCUCUCAAUCCUUCUCUUGAGGUAAUUUACACAGAAAAUUUUCUAUUUUGUUUUUAUUGUUAUAGGUUAAUUUCUCCGUAUUUAAGUUGGUUUAAGUUUUGCAGGGGGCUGUGAAUGAGGUGGUGGAGAAAGUGUUGUCGGAGCCGAUUCGGCCGCAAUUUGUGAUUGCAUCAAUUGGCCCUUCGUUUUCCUUGCCUCGUGCCCACCAACUCGUAUGUGGAGUAACUGUUUCUCCUUAUAUGAUUUGGGGAUUUUUAUGUAUUUUUAUUGAUUAAGGCAAUGUACAAGCAUAUUUGCUUGCGGUACUUCAUUUCCUUGCGCCAUUUCAUGCACAUUUGAACAAUUAUUUCUUGUCACUUGGUGUCAAGUGGAUGUAUCUGAACGAUGCUCGGACUUCAUUAGUGAAAAGGGCCGAAGCAAAAAAUUGAAUGGAUAAAAGCAAAAAUGUGCUUUAGUACUUCGCCACCUAUUUGGCUGGGAUUAUUUGUCUAUUACUAAUGGUAAAUUUGUUUAAAAGCCUUGUCGUUGAGUUUGUCUAUUUGUUUUCUUGCUAUAAGUACAAAUGUACUCGGUAUGGCAAACUAAGGUUGUAUUGUUUUGCAGAUCACUGCGCGCUUUGGUUCAAGAGUUCCUGUAAUUACAUCCCUCUCUGAUGGAAUUAUUGGGAGAGAUGCACUCACCAGUGAGUUUAAAGAGGUAAGUAUAUGAACUAUUUUCUUCUUCUUUUGUUAUGCUUGACAGAUGAUGCUAUGGCUGAGGUUUUCUCAUAUUUGUGGUGUUAAAAAUGUUGGAGCAGGUUCAGUGGGAACUAAUGGAGGAUGAUGAAGAUCUUGAUGGUCAUGGAAAUCUUUUACCGAAUCAAGGAAUUGUGCUAACUGUUGGUCAUUUACCGGAUUUGAAAGCCACUAUGAUUCCAUUAUUAUCCCAAGCUGAGGUAAAAUGUACUGCUUGGUGCAUGAUGGGGUUAAUAAGUUACUUGGGACAUUGAACCGCAUUUAUUUAUGUUAAAUACAAAUAAAUUUUAUGAGCUAGACAUUGUCUUUUGAUAUUUUACCUUGUAAAAUGCGGUAUGCUGGGGAGUAAGCUUCUCUAGACUGCACAAUCAAUAGAAUUAGGAACUACAGAUGGUAAUAGUUUUCUAGAAGUGCAUCGUGUAUUUUUGGCGUAGUAAUAGCAUAUAUGGGUCAUUUUAAUACCAUGAUCACAAUUUGAUAGUAUAUAGAGCUUGAUUAAGUGUUUCCUGGUGACAUAAUUGAUAAAGAUCUUGUAUUAGUUCCUUUAUUUGUGUUAAGUUAUAAUUAGUUGGGCAGGUAGGCUGGGAUGCUUCUGCUAAUUUAGUGUCCAUUGCAUGAAGUGAUAUUAAUUUUUUUUUCUGAUGAUGAAUUAGGAACCCCGCAUGAUUGAUGAAUUUGUGAUGGAUAUAAGGGAGUAUGCAUCUCUUGUUUCAGGAUCUACACCCCCUGCUGCAAUCAUAUUGUUUUCUGUAAGUCAUUUUGAUUUUGCAUUAUUGUGUGCAAUUUUGAUUCAUUGCAAUCACUUUGAGAAAUUAAAUGUGUUUCUUAGAGCUUUCUCAGGUUUCCAACUGGCCACUUGGGACGUGCUAUUUGUCAAUAAAGUCCUUUAUCUAUUGCAUCACUGACAUUCUUCUUUGACAUAUUCUAUUUGGGGACAUGGAACAUGAGAUAUAGAUGGAUUUGUACAUCUAGGUAAUGUUAUACAUCCUAGUGUAGUUUAAGGAGUGAAUGAAAGAGUAUGGUGGUCAAGGGCAUUUAGGAAAUUUCUGGAAAAGUAUUUUGGGCCAUUUGGCUAUUUUGUGCUUUAUUGAAUUGUUUUUUUCCUCUUGACUGUAUAUCUAACAUGGGAAAAUGCAUGGUGUGCUAGGAUCUCAAAACUGACAUGAGACCUCUUCUUCAAAAGUUUGGUGAGUACUGAAUGCACUGAACUGUAAAUCAUGACUUUCGUACAAUCUAACAUGUUCUCCUUUGCUUUAGUCAAAAAAUGUUUGAGGAAGGUUAUUAUUCAUAUUCAAAAAAUUGCUUGGUUGAGAGGACAUACCAAUGAAGUUUCUACUUUCCUGAAAUAACAAAAUUGAUUGGAAAUGCUACUGAUGUUCCAAUACACUAGAUAACCACCACCACCAUGACUGACCCCCCGGCCCUCUCCAUGUCCUCUGUUGAGAUUUUGUUUUCUUAAAAAAGGAAAAAAAAAUGAAGAAGAAAAAGAAAAAGAGAAAAAGUGGCUCCACUAAUUGAGCUUCUCUUGAAAUUGCAACUAACUAAGCUACUGGGUUUUACUUUCUUCAACCGCUUUAUGUUAUGGAGCUUAAGGAAGAUGCAUUCUUAAUAUAUUAGUUCCUAACUUGCUGAUGUUCUUAUUUUGCUUCAGAAAUUCAAAUUUGCUUUCUACAUUUUGUGUCUAAUUUUGAUCUUCUAUUUGUAGAUUAUGCAUUUUCCUUCGAGACUGUAGUUGUUGGGGAAGGGGGUGGCCGAUACUUCUACAGGAGUGAUUGGGAUAAAAACACCACCAUGAAGCAAGAUGGUAAUCCUGCUGUCGUGGCUCUUCUGUUCGUCAAGGAUAGACAUAAGCCCCCUGGUACUUAAUUUUUUCAUCUGGUCCUUGUAUAGAAUGUUUUCUAAUCUAUAUUUGACAUGGAUUACACUCUUCUGUGCAACAGAUAAAGUUUCUCAGAGUAUCCAUUAGAAAAUGAAAAUGCAAAUAUGUCUCCUGAAUACUUAUCUGGAAAUAAAAGCUGCAGUUAAUUAGAUAUUGACCCAUGUACUAUAGGUCUGACAGAAUAUGAUUACGAAGCAAUUGAGAAGAUGAUUGUGUGGUAUGGCAAAAUGAUAGUAGAUGUUUAUCAAGUUGUGCUAGUUGACUUUUGAAGGAAGCUUGUAAGCAUGACAGUUUGCAAUAUUGCAUGCUUUUUCCAAUAUUUUUUGUCCUGUGUUCAUCUAUUUCCAUUUGGCUUUAAGCUAUUUCUUAGUCAUUUCUUUUUAUUGUUUGUGCAUUUCUUUGUCUGUUAGAUCUAGGAGUGUCCUUGUGGAAAUUUAAUAUCUAUGUUAGCAGAGAUACCAUUGCCUUUUCUGUUUGUGAUGGUUUACUUCAUUCUUACAUGGUAUUGAUUGUUUAAAAGCCUAUCAGUUCAUUAUGAGUCGAGAUUGUUGCUAUUAAAAUCACUUUUGACUUGAAUUGUAUGAGCAGGCAUUGGGGAAACUAAGUUUCAUGCUACAUUAUCAACCGGCUUACAUCCUGUUGGUGCAGUUUACAAAGCGGCUUCAGUUAGAGAAGAAAGGAAUGAGCGUUCUACGUGGUUGACUGCAAGAAGAGCAGCAACUCAUGUGCAUCUUGACGGCCAAUCUAUUUUAGAUAACGUGUACAAUGAGGUAUGCUAGCCUGCCUCACAUUACUGAUGAUCACUCAGGUUUUUUUGAUAGUCAUUUAAGAUGCAGAUGUUUUAAAUUUUUGAAGGUUGUCGGGUUUAGUAAUGAACAUAUUGGUGCUCCCAGUUAUAUCAGAUUGUUAAUGUUGUCCAUAUAUUUCAGUGACAAAUAUUAGUGGUGCUCCAAAAUCCUUAGACCUGUAAUGAUGCUAGCAUUGCAUUGUUUUGAAUUUGUUUCUAAGCUAUUGAGUAAUGUUUUGGCCUUUGAACUAGAACCUAGAAAGAAGAUUACCAUGCUAAACUGAUGUCUCUUUGGCAUGUUUAUUUGUUUUACAAUCCAUAAUGUGAUUUAAUCUAUUUGACAGAAUUAGUGAUUGUGCUUAGGGUAAGGAUGAUGAGGUAGCAUACCACAUAAUUACGAAAGAUGUGGUCAGUCUGUUUAAGUAAGGGCAUGACUGUACAUUGGAGAGAAAGAUGGGUGGUGAUCACUGAGUCAUUUUAGUUUCAAAAGAUGCCUUUAUCAAGUUUAACUUUGCUGCUUUUUUCUUGGUAGAAGCAGCAUGAAUAUGGUUUCAAGUUUUGGAUUUCUUCAUUGUGUUCUUUGAUAUAAUUUUUGGUUUUUGGGUCCGUAAGCAAGAUCUUAACUCUUCGCAUUCGACUCUUCCUGAAUAUGUUUGGUUGAAGCAAUGACUAUAUUGGUUUUUCUUCUCAGAUAAUAUUCUUUAUUGUUGAAAUCGUUGAAGUUCUGAUCCAAUAGUUACUCUAUUGUUGAAAAGCUAAGUUUGCAAUCUUUAUUGAUCAUUCUUUUAAUGCUCAACAUAGCAUCUAGGUGGAUGCUAUGAUUCUGGUUCUCUCUUGACUCAGGAUUCAGCAGAAGACUUUUCCUGCAUCUUAAUUUACUUUGUUCAGCCUAACAGCAUAUAGAUUGGUAGGAGUUGAAAUAUGGAAUCUGCUUUCCCUAAACCAAAUCCUUUCUAGCAGAUUGGAGAUCGUAUCCAACAUCUAGCUCUCUACAUUGGGGUUAACAAAAGACGAAAAUGCUCCGUUGGAUUGGACAAAGCAAGAUGGAUGAUGUUUCUUGAAUUUCAUGAAGUAAUAGGGUGAGUUAUGCAUUUUGUUGGUUGAUUUUGCUUUUGCCCAGUCAUUUCCUGUGGAUGCAUUGAUUGCCUCAGGAAUGUUGACAGAAGUGUUGAAUACUGUCGGAUUACAAUGGUUUGAAACUUAAUCUGUUCAACUUGGUAAUGUUAUGAGAGUUAGAUGCUUGAACUCAGUUUUAAAAUUUUAUUUAUGUUACUUAUUUGUCUAGUUGUAUAUUGAAUGACUUUGUGAAAUUUGGGUAGUGGAUAGUUUAUUGGGUUAGGCUGGGCUGUCAGUGUAGAGAAAGGUUGGGUGGGAUGAGCCGGGAAUGGGAUAUUUUAUUAAUUAUGCAUCUAUUUGUACUAAUUAUUUCUAAUGAGUGCCUUGAGGUAUUAAUGGUAUGGAUUUCUUGGGAUAUAGGCUACUUGUGCUUAUUCAUUUUGUGUUUCUCGUCUUGUUAGGAAUGCUAAUGACUUGUGUUUAAGCUCACUUUGUCAUUUGCACUGUCUCCCUUUUUAUGGUUUAUUGGAGGUAUGAACAAUGGCUCUCUUUUUGCAGUGGGGAUGAAGAGUACCUGUAUGUCAAUGACUUAGGUAUCAGAACUGGAGACUCCUUCCGUUUCUAUGUUUCAGAUUCUGAUGCUACCUUGAGUUCUAGUGCCAAUGUUACUGAGUACUUCAGACGUCUGAAGCAUGAAUACGACCACAUGUCUAAUCAACAAUGCAAUGGAAGUGUUGCUAAUACCAAUAAGAAGUCAGUCUUUGGUGGUUUGAUAUUUGCUUGCUGUGGUCGUGGUACAUCAUUUUUUGGACGUUCUAAUGUGGAUAGCGCACCUUUCUUGGAGAAUUUUCCUGGGGCUACUCUUGGAGGAACUUUUUGCUCUGGGGAGAUCAAACUUGCGAAUAAGAGCAUAUAUGGACAAGAACAAGAAUCUGAAGAUCAGGGUUAUGUGCGCUGCACACUCCAUUUUUUCAGUACUACAUACCUAGUUUUGUCCUACAUUCCUGCAUAGCUUCAGGAUUGGUAUUAUUGUGUAAGCCUGAGAUAGGGCAAAUACGCUCGGCUGCCUUGACCAGUUCCUUUCUCACUAUCUUCCAUUGAUGCUUAAAAGAGCUGUCGAGGAAAUGUUUGGAUAGGAGGAGUACUAAAAGAACUUAUCUGUUGUACAUUGGACAUGUUUCGAUGUGGUGAACAAAAUAUAUAGGUUUAUCGGUUAUCAUUGAAAUACUUCUCAAUUGCAACUUACGAAGAAUACAAAUGCAGCAGCAUGAAGGACACGAAUGGAGUAGAAAAUAGAAAUUCUCAAGAUGGCACACACGGACAUGGACAGCUCAAAUCAGCAGAGUUAAAGCACGAUCCACUUGCGUCUAAAAAAUCAGGUUAUGCAAAGUGUCACUUGGAUUGAGAUCAUAUACAAUUCCCAUAGCUUCAAGUUUAUGGAGGGGAAGGAAUGAUGAUGAUGAGGGAUCAGAGAAUGAUGCUGUAGUGGAAGGGUGAAAAUAGAAUUUAUUUUAAGAGCUAAGUUCAUACCAUACAAAAUAAUAAGGGUUGAUUCAUGAUCAAAUCCUGAGACACGAAUUAAAGAUUCAAAAAAAUGAGAAAAAAACUCUCAACAAUUGAUAAAAACCAACCAAGUUUGGUAUAAUAAUUGAUAAAGACUAAUUAUAAAAAAAAAAAAAACCCUUGAUAUACAUAUUUAUAGGCUAAACAGUCCUACACUAAAAAGGAAACAAAAACACAAGAAAAAAAUCCUAGAUAAACUAAACUUGCGCCAAGCAAUCGCAAAAGAUCAGACAGAAGUCCGGCCUAAAGUCCAGCUUAAAGUCUGGCAUCAGAUGUCAUUGGAACCAACCUCAGGACUAGACCUGCAGGCAGAUCCGUGAGGCUUUACUGAAGGAUCCGUCUCCAGAUCCUCGGUAAACAGGCCUUCGAACAUUUUUCUUUUGCCACCAGGUCGCGUGUUUCAAUUACAACCAACAAUAAUAAUAAAAUUAUCAAUUAAAACUAUGAAUAAAACUAUGGAUAAAACUAUAAAAUUUAUCCUAAAUCAGAACCCUAAAUAAUUUCUCGAGAUACAAACGACUCCUGUUCUGUAUCAGAGAAUAUGGGAGGAAGCAGUAGUUUAGCAAAGGUAAGAACACGCACGUUGGUGGUGGUUGUGGUGGUGAUUAUGGAGAGAGAAUCACCUUUUUUUUCUAUUGAUAUGAAUUUUUUUUCUCAUUGUCAAAUAUUUAUUGCAAUGUCUGUAUCAACAUUGUAGACAAGGAGAGCCUUAUACUCUUGUGUUGGAACGUGCUGGAAACAAUGAUAUGUGCUUGCAACUAAUUGAUAUGGUGAAAAAUUGUCCUCUUAAGGAGGAAAAGUCUUCCAAAAGCAAUAUGCAUCUGUGUUUAUACAGUGUUAGGAAAACACAGACAUUUCAGUCUGUAGUUCCAUCGAAGUUCGCAUGAGUCCUGUGAUCAAUCAUAAGGUUAUAAUGUGGACUAUCAGCAGGCAAUUCAAACUCACUUCAGAAUCCUAGGCUAAUUUAUAGGAAACUCUAAUAGAAAUUUUAUUAGGCACCAAAAAGAAAAAAAAAAAAAGUAGCCAAGCGAAGAGUCACCGAGGUAUAUUAAUUUCUAUAUUUCUAUAUGAGAUGAAGAUAUGAUCAAUCACUUUCAUUUCUUUAUUUCUUAAUUACAGGAGAAGAUUCUUAAUAUCACUAUUAUCAAUUGUACCCUUAACAUUAUUUUUUAGUCACUUCACUCCCAUCGAUAAUUCAACUCAACAUGUCAAUAAAUUUGGACAAACAUAUCCUUUUAUUUUAUAGCAGUAAUACGGUUUAAGGGGGUAAAGUGAUAAUUAAUUAAUGCCUUAGUCAAGAUACAUUAAUUUCCAAGGAAGAAGCCAAUAAGUAUCAAAAUCCAAUGUGUGAUCACAUGAUAAGUGAAUAAGGACACUCGCAAUGACUAUAAUUUUAUUCCUUGAGAGUUGAGAAUUUGGAAGGGAAGUCCUACCUGCCAUUAAUCAUUUUUCUUCAAUUUCAUCAACACACUUGGUUGAGCGCAAAAAACACUUUUAGUUUUGAAUUUCACAAAAUAUAAGAUACAAUGUAGAUGUGGCUGUCCUUUUAGAAUUAUUCAAUAUGAUCAAACGGCUCGAGCAUUGAUCUAAGAAAAGUUGCCUUGGAAAAUUCAAAAGGAACCAAAUCAAAAUACUAAUUACCAAACACACAAAAUAUUGCUGAACUUAAAAAAGACUUCAAUUUGGGGACCUUGAGGACACAUACUGCACUGGUCAGCCAAGAGCUAACCCUUUUUGGUGGAAGUAUCUAUGAAAACGUUGCCUAAAGGAAGAAGGAUGCCAAGGAAUCUGGGAUGAGAAAGGCUGAAAUGGUUGCCAAUUCACAAGUUCAUUAUAUUGCCACUUCAAUUUUAAGUUUCACACUUCAUAUAUCACAUUAUUGGCCUUAGUUGGCUCAAUUAUUUUGAAUGCACUUGUUUAUAUGGCUAAUUUUUUGUACUUAUGGUAGGAGCUUAUGAUAUUAUGCUCCACUCUAGUAAGGGCAAAUUAUCCAAUUGGCCCUUUAACUCUUUGUCUAGGUAAAAUUAAGCCCCUCGUCUAUUUUUUGCUGACUUUAAGCCCUUGAACUUGUAAAAUGGGAAAUCCGUGGCCCUUUUAGCAAGUUUCUCCGGUUUUGCAACCGGAGGACCAAUUCACACGAACGCUAGUGUGCUUCUUUCAAGGGCAUUUUUGUCCUCAUAUUCUAAGCAAAAAAGGCACACAUAGUCCACCUUCCCUCCACUGGCUUAGAAAUCAACGGGGAAUACAGUGGCCAAAAUUUCCCCAAAUGCCCGCCUAGACUCGUAAACGGACUUCCCAAAAACUACUGAAUUGGGUAAAGAAAAAUAAAUAUUCUCAAAGAUGCAAGACUUAGGCUCCGGAUGAGACAUCAGACAAAGGGGUCCAACCCCGUCUUUAUCCACAACCAAUACCUCAUCAGGCAUUAAAGACAUCAGAAACCAAACCAAUAUCCUCAAAGAUGCAAGCUUGGACUCGUUAAAGACAUCAGAAACCAAACCAACUCCAGUAAUCGAUUUGAGGACGUUGUCAUGGACGGAGACGAUGCCGGCGCCUUCUUGGCCGCGGUGCUGGACUGCGUGGAGGGCUAAAUAGCACAGGCGAGAAGCUUCGGGGUCACCAUAGACGCCCACCACGCCUCACUCCUCUCUGGGUUUGUCGUCAUAAUCGUCGGAGACAUCGGAGACGACGUCGGAGAUAUGAUUCUUGGAAGCGGCCGAGACACUGGUCCAGUGGACUUUGCGGGUGUGGGUGACGGGGUGGCAGGGUUUUAGGAGGGUUUUUGAGAAGGAAGAGCAGAAGGGCUUGUCAUGAGGAGGGGUUGUAAGUUACUGGUGGCAAUUCCUGACACGACUCGAAAACACGACACGAACCUAACACGAAAUUAAUGGGUUUGGGUUGAGGUUUCGGGAGUUCGGGUCAGAAUCGGGUCGAACCCGAUGAACCCGAAAAGAAAACAGGUCAAUUUCGGGUCAACUCGUGGUGACCUGAUAUGACCCGAUGUGACCCGUUUACGAAUUAAAACUAAUUUAAUAAACAUAAAAAUUAUUUUAUCUAACUAAACUAAAUCAUUCUUUUUUCCAAAGGCAUUAAUUACUUAAUCCUAAAUGAAUUUAUUUAACUUGUGUGAAGUUAAAAUUAUUGUAUUUGGACAAAUAAUAUAUUAUGUUAUUUUUUACUUUUAUGUUGUUUUAAUUUAUUUUAUAUUUGGUUUGGGAUAAAAUACUUUAUGGUGUUUAAUUUAUUUUAGAUUUGGUUUGAAAUUAUUUAUUUAAAUUUUUAUUACUUGAUGAUGUAAUUAAUUUUGUGAAAAAUUGAUUUUAUUAGAAAUUACAAUGAUAAAUUAAUAAAUUAAAAUUAAGUUUCAGGUCAUUUCGGGUCGACCCGCCAACCCGCCAACUCGAAAUUUUCAGGUUCGUGUCAGGUACCCUGACCCGUUUCGGGUUGGCGGGUCGGGUUCGGGUCAGCAGGUUCUUUGUUAUAUUUAGGCCUCAACCCGAACCCGACCCGAUUGCCACCCCUAGUUGUAAGCGGAGAGAGCUUCUGGGAGGCCGCGGCUGCUGCGGUGGCGACAGAGACGGCCAUGGGAUUGCAUGGGGGUUGCGCAGGGAAGAGUAAGGGAAGUGAGGGAAAUCAAAUAGAAAGAUGGACUAUGUGUGCCCUUUUUGCUUAGAAUAUGAGGACAAAAAUGCCAUUGAAAGAAGCACACUGGCGUUCGUGUGAAUUGGUCCUCCAGUUGCAAAACCGGAGAAACUGGCUGAAAGGGUCACGGGUUCCCCAUUUUACAAGUUCGAGGGCUUAAAGUCAGCAAAAAAUAGGUGAGGGGCUUAAUUUUACCUAGACAAAGAGUUAAAGGGUCAAUUGGAUAAUUUGCCCCUCUAAUAAACCUCAAAACAGUCUUGGGUGCGAUUUUAAUCGAUACUGAAAACCUUGCUAUAAACUACCAGUCGAAACACUAUUGUUAAGAAGUCGCGUGUCAAUGAUAGAUCCACUUUGAAUUGAUCUUAGAUAAAUUAAAAUGCUAGGACUCACGUACUAAUCAGAUCUAUGUAUAGUCAAUAUAAUCAUGGAUUUUACAUGCUACCAAUUUUAGUAAUAUCAGAGUGAUUUUAGUUACUAAAAGAGGUCCAAAAAAAUGAUUAACCAUACACAUUUUUUAUCCAUAGUCAAUCUUUAAUUCCCUAUCACCCGUUAAGGAUGCUAGUCUUUUUGCCUUAGCAUUUAUUUCCUCAGGGAAGAGGCACUUGCUUACUUGAAGCUAUCCUCUAAGAUGGUGAGAAGGCUGUUGGAAAUCUUAAUUGCAAAUCUUAGAGUGACCCUUGAUGACUCAAGACUCGAAUCACUAAUUGGCAUGAAAAAUGUCAAUAUCAACUUCUAUCCAAUUUGCCGAAAUCCAGAACUCACUGUUGGUGCAGGGCGCCACUCUGAUAUGGGCACCUUGACUGUGCUUUUGCAAGAUAAUGCUGGAGGUUUAUAUAUAAAGGUUGAAGAAUAUAAACUUGAUAGCAGAAAAGAAGAGUGGAUAGAGAUUCCACCAAUCCCAAGUGCUUUAGUUAUUAAUGUUGGGGAUUCAUUAGAGGUUAGUUCGUACUCAAUGACCAUAUUUAUUGUUUCUUUGAGCGAGUGAAGUUAAUACAAUUCACAAAAAGUUCUGUUGCCCAAUUACCUAAUUAGGUUAAGUUGGCUGUUUGUCUGGAUCAACUGAUCAGAUACGUUAGCACAAUGAACUAUUUUAUUACUCAUAUGUUUGCAUUAGGUUAAGUUGGCUGUUUGCCUGGAUCAACUGAACACGUAUGUUUGCACAAUUAACUAUUUUAGUAUUACUCUUAUGUUUGCUUGUUAUUAUGAUAUAAAUUUCAUUAAAAUGUAAAAAACUGAAAUUUUUGUUUAGGCACUGUUUGUUUUGAGGGAGUUGGAGGGGAGGGAAGGGAAGGGAAAGAAAAUGGAGGAAUAAGGUUUUUGAUGUUUGGAUUGAUUUUUGAGGAGGGAAAGGAAAGGAUUGAGAGGAAAAUGAGGGAUAAAGUUUAGUUAUUUUUUGUCAUUCUGCUUUUCAUUCAAAAGUGGGUGGAAACGGAGGGAAAUGAUACCAAGAUUAAUGAAAAUUUUCAAUUUUCCUAAAAAACCUAUUAUGUGUUUACAAAUUAGACAUUUUAAAUAGAGGUGUAAAGUGGGUUUUUCGAAUCAGAUUUUAGCCAAUAUUUUUUAAAAUUGAACCGGACCGGUCAGUUCGAUCGGUCAGACCUUGAACCGGUCGUAAUUUCGGUCCGAUUCAUAUCUUGGGUUGAUUGGACUUAAAAACCGUGAACCAUACGAACCAAAUUGAACCGUUGAACUAGGGGUUUUUUUUGUUUGUCUAUUAAAUUGAAAAAAAAAAAAAGAAUAGGUUUUUUUAACCCUAAAGACUAAUUAUUAAAUGCCACAUCCACUUACUUUCUUCUCAUUUUUUGCCUCUUAUCAAGUUUGCAUCUAUAUUUUCUAUUUUCUUGACUUUCUCCAAACUUCAAACUUCUUUUUUUUUUUUUUUUAAGUUGCAAUCUUUAAAUCCCAAAAACAUGAGUUAAAAAUUUAAACUCACAAUGUCUAAUUCUUAUGGACGUGAAUUUUGCAUGGUAUUUUUGUGUUGGAUUUAAGAUUUUUUUUGGUAGAUACAAUUGAGAAUGAGAUGAAAUUUAUUUGUUUCAAUUUAUAAUUUAAAAUUUUUAUUUGUGAAAAUCCAAAUUCUUUGAAAAUAUUAAACUUUUCAUCAUAUACAGUCUUAAAUUAUUCCAUUGCAUGUCUUAUUUUGUGCAUAUAUAUUUAUAUAAAUUAUUUUUAAAAAAUUCAUUGAACCAGGGUUGAACUGAUCUGACCAGUUGAACCACGACCCAAACACCACACUCGUUCAAUUAAUGGUCCAAGUUUCAAAACAUUGAUUUUAGCACAUUCAAACUCGACUAACAAAUUAUAUGGCUUUUUAAGAUUCGGGUUUUUGAGUUUCAGGCUUAUAUUGAAAAGAUUCAAUAUCAAUUCAUACUACUAUAUUAGCUUCAGACUCAAACCAGACUUGACCCAAACUCAUAAUUAAAUAAAUAAUAAUUAUAUAUAAUAUAUAUUUUAUAGUUAUGAAUUAACACAAAUAUAUAUAAAUCAUUAACAUUUUAUAUCAUAAUAUGUAUAAUUAUAAAUUAUAUAUAUUAUUAUAUUAUAUAUACUUAUGCGUAUAUAUGGCCAAAUUUUAAUCGGGUUUGAACCUAAUAUGGUCCAAACUCGACUCACAUUUAUUUUGAGCCUAAUAUUUAGGCCCAAACUUUGCCUGACACAAUUAAAGAUUAGGCUCAAUGAGCUUUUUUUGUGCCAGACCAACGGCCGAAUGGGCUGAGUUUGGAUUGAUCUAACCCCAUUGACAAUUUACUUUUGUAAUGCAAAAAAGAUGGAUGAAUUUAAAUUUCUUCUACUUUUCUUUUUUUUCUUUUUCACUAGAGUCCCGUCCUUUUCUUUCCUUCCUUUUCCUUCAAUCGAAACAGCGCCUUAGUUAUUUAUUUAUUUGCUUGAUCAAAACCAGACCCAUAAUUUAUUUAUUUGCUUAAUUUGCCUUAGUUGUUUAUUUCCUCCUUUUUACCUUCUUAUUUUUUGCUACCCCUUAGAUCCUAAGCAAUAGAAGGUACAAAAGUGCUGAGCACUAGGGGUGUGCAUCGAAUUCGAAUUCGGUAAUUCGGAAGUUUGAAUUCGGAAUUUUUCGAAAUUUUGGUACCUGGUAAUUCGACCGAAUUCGAUUUCGAAUUCACCAAUUCCGAAUUCGAAUUCAUACCGAAUUCAAUUCGGAAUUCGGUAAAUUCCGAUUUCACCGAUUUCACCGAAUUCGGAAAAAUUUAUAUAUUAUUAUAUAAUAUAAAAUUUAUAAUAAUAUAUAAUAUUAUAUAAAUUUUAUAUUAUAUUAUAUUAUAUUAUAUAAAUUUUAUAAAUUUUAUAUUAUAUUAUAUAGUAUAAAUUUUAUAUUACAUGUAUAAAAAAUAUAUUUAUAUAUUAAAAACGAAUUUGAAAUCGAAAUCGGAAUUCGAAUUCCGAUUUCGAAUUGUGAAUUCGAAAUCGGAAAUUCCGAUUUGAAAAACUCCAUUACCGAAUUCGAACCAAAUUCGAAAUAUAUGAAUUCGGAAAAUCCGAAUUCGAUUCCGAUUUCCGAUUUACCGAUUUCGAAAAUUCCGAAUUCAAUUCGAAUUCGGUCGGUAAAUCGGAAUUUUUCGAUUUUGCACACCCCUACUGAGCACAGAGUGCGUACCUCAUGCAAACAAUCAAGAGUUUCUAUUCCAGUUUUCACUGCUCCAAGGCCGACCGAGAAGUUAGGUCCGCUGCCUCAUUUGGCAGAGCUUGGUGGUGGAGCUCUCUACCGAGAAGUGAGAAGUUAUAUUUCAAGAGUACAUGGACAAUUUUUUCGGACAUACUCCUUAAGGAGAGAAAUGCCUUGAUCUUGUCAAAAUAAAAGCCAAUUAACAUGAAGCAUGGAGCUUCUUAAUUUACAGCAUAAUUAUUAGUUUAUAAUUUAGCAAAAAAAGAAGAAAAAAAAAAGAAAAUGCAGUUUAUCUUGAUUGUUGAAAGACAUUCAACGACCACACUUUGGUUAGGUUUUAAUGUUGUUUUGAACUAUUCUUCAUGCUAUGCUAGAUAGCUCUUUUGGAGAACUUGGUACGAGACAAAUAAUGAAUAACUUGACUAGCUUUGUUAGGGGGAAAACCUGUAUGUAUGCUUUAUCACUUCAUGGGACCAGUAAUUAAAGAAAGAAUAGUUUUGAAACUGCCCUUUAUUGAGCUCUAUACGGGUAUGAAAAUUGUUGCCCCGUUUUGAUAAGAAAUUAAUAGGUGUAGAAAAAAUUGGCUCACAUUAAGCCAGAAGAAAAAAGAUGGGUAAACUGUUGGCAGCAGUGAAAUGAACAAGACAAUGAUUACUACACCAUGCUAAUUAGAGGUGGCAAUAUGGAUAAAUGGUUCAUAAUUGGUUUUGACUUAAUGGAUAGUGGAUGAAAUUUAUCCAAUCCAUUUAGAUCCAUUUAAUAAAUGGAUCUAAAUGGAUGGAUCUAAAUGGAUUAAAUAAAAACCAAUUAUCCAUUUAUAAUCCAUUUAAAUAUUUUUGUUACUUUUUUUUUGUAUUACCAUUUCUUGUAAAUUCAAGCCACAAAAUACCACGGAUGUAAAUUCAAGCAAAAGGAACCUUCAUUUCACUAAAAAACUAUCUGAAAUUAUUAUUAUUAUAUAUAUAUGUAUAUAUAUAUAUUACAUAUUACAGAGUAGCCAUAUAUUGCAAACUAGCCCAAACAAUAGAAGUCCUGCAUAGACCGUAUGUAGGGUAUCUACAAAAAUACCAACACUGGCUUUUAUUCGUACUCACACAACACUUGCAAUGUCUACUACUAAAGCCACGGAUGACUUUUGAGCUCAACAUCUAGUAAUCAGGUGCAUGGGUGUACCAAGCAGGGCAUGUUCCCUUUGUCCUGACCUCUUCAAAGCCAAUCGAAAUCCCAGGUACUGUGGAGUCUAGAAGAAGAAACAAAGGAAUGAUUAAUUUGUUCAGCAGUAAACCCCAACAUUCAGUUUCAGGGUUGGUUACCAUUCACGGGGAUGGCUUUUUCACACCCCAACUGCAAUUUUAGGAUGACUCCUUUUUUAGUCAUUUCCUUUCCCUCUCUUUUAUUUGGUUUUUAAGUAAAUGGAUAUAUAUGGUUUUUGUGGAUAAUCCAUAUAAAUCCAUUUAAUUUAAUGGUUUUACUUUGAUCAACCAUUUAAAACCAAUACUAUAAAUGGAUAAUCCAUUAUCCAUUUAAUUAUGGAUUAUAUGGAUGGAUAAAUGGAUCUCAAUCCAAAUUGCCACUUCUAAUGCUAAUACUACCACAGAACAAUAUGCACAGACAUCAAAACUCAUUUCAAGAAAACAUGUUGGCUUGGGAUCUGGGGCUCUCCGUUUAAGGUUCUGCCCAGUUCUAUUCAGUUGUAUAAAUUGGUACAAUUUCAGUUGCUUUGUUUGGAUUGCAUUUUUUUUGGAUUUUGUGUAGAAAAAUACUGUAGCGAUUUAAUAUAUGUGAGAUAAAAAGGUGAUUGAAAAAUGUGUUCACGUAACAAUUUUUCUUUGAAAAAUUGCUUUCCAAACAAACAUAUAUAUUAUUUUGAUGUAAUCAUGAGUUUUAUAUCAACUUAGCUAUAAUUCAUGUUUAUACCAAAAUUUUAACAGUUUACAUGAAAAUUCCAUCAAUUUACACCACUGCAUCGUAGAUCCUGAGCAAUUGAAGGAACAGAAGCGUUGAGCACCAUCUCCAGUGUCUAUUCCAAUUUUCAAUUGUCCAAGAUAUAGGUCAUCUACCUCAUUUGGCAGAACUUAAUGGUGGAGCUCUCUCUACAGAGAAGUAAUAUUUGAAGAGUACAUGAGGAAUUUUUUUUGGACAUGCUCUUGAAGGAAAGAAAUCCCUUGAUUUUGUCAAGAUAAAUGCAAAUUAAUAUGAAACAUGAAGGUUCUUUAGAGCCCAAAAAAAAAAAAAAGAGCAAUUCCUCCUUCUUUAUUGCAGAAUCAAAAAGACAAGAAAGUGUAACCAUAAGGGACCAUAUAUUUGGUUAAAUUUUAAUAUUUUAUUCACAGUACUUCAAGGGUUUCAUUGUGUACUUGUUGUUUCUUGAUAGAGGUGUCGAUUACAAUUCAAUUGUGUUGAUAGGCUCAAACCCACCCACUAAUAACCCAUCCAAGCCUACUAAUUAAUUUUGAAUGGGUCUAAAUGAGUGUCAAAUUAAACUCAUUUAAUUGAUGAGUAAUGGGUUGACUUGGAUCAUCCAUUUAUAUCCAUUUUAAAAAAUAAUUAUACAUUUAAACUCAACUUUUAAUGAGUAUUGAGCAAAUAAAUUUAAAUUUCUUAUCACUAUAAUAAUAAUAAAAUACCGUUAUUUCUCAUUAAAUAACAUGUGAAAAAAUAUUUUAAAAAAUAAGUAAAAUUUUAAAUGACUCAUAAAUAGGUAAUUGAAUAUACCCAUACCCAUUUAUUAAAUAGGUAUAAAUUUGUACCCAUUUAUACUCAUUUAUUUAAAUAGAUAGAAAUGGAUUGAUCUAAUUAUACUCAUUAUUCAGUUAUAAUCCAUCCAAAUUCACCCGAAUCACCCAUUUUGACGCGUCUAGUUCUUAAGUCCCCAAGUACCUAUGGUCAUAGUAUUAAAAGAGUUAGAUAUUGUCAAUAUGUAUAGACUAGCAGAUUUCAGUAGAAGGGUGCUAAUUGUAUUUUCCUUGUACACAUGCAUUUGACUGUUAGUCGUUAGGAAGAAAAAGAUUUUGAUUGUACUUUAACUACCAUACACAUUUGGUUGUCGGUCAUCCAAGGGUAGGUUCAAUAUUGAGUCCUAUUUUACUCUCUACAAAAAUUGGGAAAAUUUACGGUUGCUUUAUUGUUAUGUAAUAUUCAUGUUCAAGCUGACUCUGACGGUUUACUCUACCAUACGCGUCAAUUUCUUUUAUGAGUAAAUCUUAUAUAUAUCAAUAAUAUAUAUAUAUUAUCACCGUUAAAUCUAUAACAUAUGUGCAAAAAUUAAAUUUUAAAUUUAAAUUUUACAUAUUUAUUAUUCAUCCAAACAAUAUAUACCGAUAUAGGAAAGAUUAAUCCUUCUUUUAUAUGGGGAAUUAACCUGCUUUCCUCAAUUUCUUCAAUUAACCUUCUUUCCUUUGCAUUGGGGAACCAAACAAAAAACAGAGUAUAGUAGCUUUAGUUGGUUUGUGUUAGCUUGAAAGCCUAACGCACAAAGGAACAAGUAAAACCACAAGAUAAUCUUUCAAUAUUACUUUGAAAUGAGGGUAUCCACAUUAAGGUUAAAACAAACAUGGCUGAACAACAUUUGACAGAGAUUUCUCAAACCCUGCCCAUUACCUUUACUGCAGUAAUUUCUCAAAAACCACAAUGCUUUGCUGCAUCCAGAAGGAACCUUCAAGAUAAACAGGCAACAAAGCCCAGACAUUUUUUAUGUCCUUUACAAUCCUCCAUGAAAUCGAAGUUCAACAACUCAGUCUUCUGCCACAUUUUAGAAAAUCUGAAAUUUUUUACACCAUCGUACAUGAUCACAAGUAAAAGCUGGGAUAACGCCAUGCUUCGAUCGGAAAUCUUGUCAUUCAAUGAUCAGCGUAUAGUCCGGUCCCCAAAAAAAUAGGUUAAAAAGGUCAGGUUACCCUAGAAUUAGUCCACUUCUAGACAACCUUCUAAACAUCCAAUUUGGAACUGCUCGGCCUCAUUAUUUCUCUUUGCUAUAUCCUCUAUUAUGCCUUUACCAUCCAUGGCGUCGAAAAAGAAGAAAUUCUUUAUUGGAUCGCCUUUGCCACAUAUUGCUUUAAUGACUUCCUGUGGAGAAAAUCUCCUUCACAUGAUUACAGAACCCAAAGACAUGUAAAAGCAAAUGUAAUAUAUGAGAGAUUCUUUAUGUAAUCACCUGUCCAAGGAUUCCCCCAACAAUGGCACAAACUGGAGGAAACUCUCUUGUACCAGCUAACAAUCUCUCAAUGAGAGCAUCCGGCAUCUGAGAUUCACUCAGCGACUGCAAAUGGGAAUAGUGUCAACCUCAGAUGUGCUUAAGGACAUAUACAAGGUUUCAAUGUAAACUCUCAAUAGAAAAGCCAUAUAAUACAUGUGCCUCACAAAGUUCCUUCCUCAAGUUCAGAACAUUAGGAAGGUCAGCAGCUGAAGUUUGGCCAGGCUUCCUGCCUUCAAGCUCUUCAAACCUUUCUAUCACUGCAAUUGUCGGAUUCAUGCGUGAGAGAAACAUAUUGUGACAAACAUUAUUGGCUAGAACAUGUUUCAAACUAGUAUUAGAUAACUUUUGACAUCCAAAUUCAAACUUUAUUAAAUGAAAAGAGGCAAGGUAAGCACUGUGGUUAGCUUCAGUAUAAACAAAUAAACAAAAAGCAUGCUUCGCAUUUACAUAUACAUAUUAACCAUUAACCUCAUAGCCUAUCCCAGAAUAAUUGAAUAGGCAGAUCACAAGAACGCCCAUUAAAUUUUUUGUUUAAUUAUACUAACUAAUCACCUAUACUUUCGGUCAUGGACUUUACAUCAAACUUGUACUUUUAAGGCAAAAUAAGGAAUAGUAAUGAGAUUAAGUGUUAAUUCCACAGAUAAUCACUAGUAUUCACUGUGGAUUUACAUCAAAGAAUCUUCAGUGGAAAACAACAUGCACAUUUUACUUCCUCAAGCAGCAUAAAACUUAAUUGAAUAGCUUUUUCCCAUCGACAAGCAGAUGCAAUAUGGCCAAGUAAAAAGUGCAGAAAGCAACAUAAAGCUUUAAUACCUCUCAUUGCAAAGUAUAACUUUGACAAUCUCCCAGGGAGAGAUCUCCAUGGCACAGCAAUAGCCUCCUGCAAAAAGUUGUGCAGAGUACAUCAGCAUAUCUCAAACUUCAGCUUUUAACUCAUAAAUUUCAAAAGCAGUGCACAUUUGGUCAUAUUAUAGUUUCAUGACCAGUACAAAACAGUCCAAAAACAAAAAAAACCCACCGGUUCAUUCUUCCAAGCAACAGGAAGAAAGCUACAAAAGCAGAAUUGGCUAAGUCCGUUAACUACCAAGAUCAUUCUGUUCUCAUCCUACAUCAACUGUGACAGUAUCACUUUUAUUAUGAACCCGCUAAAAUAGUUUUGCACAUACAGUAAUGUGAUAGAUGGUCAAAUUUCAUGACAUCUACCAGCAUUGUCAAAUUUUAUGCAUCUAUCAGCUUCAUUAUGACCCAGCUAAAUAGUUUUGCACAUAUAUUUAGUCAAUAAAAAGGUCAAAUUUCAUAACACAAUGUCUAAUUUCAUAUAUCUCCAAUUGCAGUUUCUGCAAAGCAAUAUCUUUAGUAAAACGUUCUUCUUCCGCAAUCGGUAGACAUGCUCAAUGAACCACCACAAAAGGGAGGCUCAUCCAAAAUGCUAGUUUGCCUUUUCUCUAGGUAAACCAAAAUGAAAGUUUCCAUAUUGCACUCUGUACCAAACAAGUUAAUACAGAAUUUCAUCCGAGCAGGUCCAAGGACAAGAGACUAAAGAACUGGACUGCCUUUUGAAGAAAAGAGAUACUUUGCAAUCAAAACAUUUCAUUUAAGGAAGAUUGUGCUACACACCAUAGAAAAGACAAGACACCAGGAGAUCCACCUAAAAAUAUCUAGAGCUUAACUCCUGAACUUCCACAAAGAUUAAAGUUGCCAGAAUACAAAUCUGAAAUGAUCGCUUGUACAUGUCAUGUGCCACUUAUGAACAGAAAAACCAAAUCUGACACUUGCAGGGCACAAUACGGCCCAAAAACUAACUAAUACCAACACUUCCAGGGUACAUUUUUGAUAAAUCUCAAGCUCAUCUCUACAUCUCAAGAAGCUGAAUUUGAUGCAGAAUCUAGAGAUCUUGUUUGAAUUUCAAUUGAACCAAUGCUCUUUAAUUUUAGAGCUAGUAACCACUUUAUUUAUUCUGCAACUUCAACCUAGGCUAGCUUUUCAAUUACUUGUUUAAAUUGGAUGCUUCAAGUUUUUUCCUGUAUUGGUUUGUCACAAGAAAAGGACUAAUCAUUCAGACACCUCUUCUCAUAUGCAUAGAGUGAAGCACUUUUAUUUAAACAGCCAAGCUGAUUUGACCUGGAAAAAUUAACUAAUGUUAAAAUUAACCACCUAAUCUAUAAACUCAAUUUAACUAAUUGUGAUAUAUAAUCACACCACCUCCAUAAAAAGAGAUAUAACUCUGUAAAAAAGACAUUGGCAGAAAUAACAUUUCCAUUGCAGAUUUUCUGCAAUACCAGUUUCUAAGGAGUAAUCUCUUGACUUUUAUAUGAGUAUGUUUCCUAGCAAUCCUACGUAUUACUCCUGGGUCUUCAUAACUCUAUUUCCUUGUCCCUCGCAAUUGUCAGAUUCAGAUUUGACUUUUACAUCCUGAACCAUUAAAUACGAGAAGAACCACUGCUUCAGAGUAACUUUGCUGAGCUC
rnacentral:lncRNA from 1 species